rnacentral:lncRNA from 1 species
CAGAACUGCUGUGUUCUGGAACAGUAUCUCCACCACGGCACCAUGCCGGAACCGCCGCACCACCGUAGCCUUAUUCGAUGGCUCUAGACGCAUCUCCUUGGGUCCAAACGGGAUUAAGGCACGGUCAGUGAAAUUGAAUGCCCUUGGCGGUCUGUCAGGAAGCUCUUGCAUCACGUCCACGAUGCCAGUGUGGUAGUAGUGUGCUUCUAGUAGUGGCGUCUUCCCCGUGGGAUUCAGGAAGGAAACGUUGUUCAUGGUUGCGGUGGGGAGGUCCUCAUUGCUAUUACCCCUCUUGCAGGACUGGCCAUGCUGACAGAUUGAGCCCAGGCUGAGCAGGAUGAACAAACGUUCAUCAACUCGCUGAGGGACCACCGUAUGGUACAGGUUGGUUAGGUUGCUGUGGAAGUAGUAAGAUGUAAUUGUGUCGUGUAUAUCAGGCAUCUCAGGUGCUACUGGCACAUCACCGGAUGAACCCUCUUCUUCUUCUUCCGCUCCACGAUCUGACCCUAGUCCCGCUGGACCAUCGGCAGAGCUGUGACUGUUGCUAUACUGCAUGAUACCUCUGGUUGUGUAUUGAGGGGUCUGGGUCUCCGGCAAUGGUGCCUGAUUGGGCAGGGCAACCAUGUAGUACCUUCCAGGGGGCGCAUCAGCAACAAGCAAGGCAUCCACCGUCUCGCCUGGCGCGAUGGCAAUGACAUCCGUGGUGUAUGGGCUGACGUAGCUGGCAUCGGCACCAACCACAGUGAAUUUGUGCCCAGCUAUCUUUAGGUAGAACUCGGCGAAGAGCGCGGCGUUAAUUAUUCGUAGCAGAUAGGUCGUGCCAGGCACAACGUCCAAUACGUAGUUAUCUUCCGGCACACCUUCAUAGUUGAAUUCAAGCAGACACUUUUUUCAGAAAAAAGGAAUACUAUGUCGUUGACACGGACAUCAAUGCUGUAAUUUCUUACCAGAGCAAUUGAAGAGAUCUCCAAGCUUGCCAUUGAUUGUGGAAGCAUUGGAGAAAAUAUACAUGUAACCAUGCAUCAUCCUCCUUGCCGCCUGUGCAAGGUCUAGCUGCCAAUAGUCCGCUGCGGAAGUCAAAGACAGUUCAAUUCAAAUAGGAACAGUCCAUUCUUCUAUUUUCCAAACAGCAAUAAAAAAACAGGUACAAUUUCUUUCUGUUCUCCUAACACAGCUAGAGGUUAUGAUGCAACUAAUUCACGAACCUAUUAUGAUCGGGACCUCCCUGUCUGGCUUUGGAAAUGGAUAUGAGCUCGCCCCAUUUCUUGGCCGGAUGAUGAGGGCACCAUGCACUGAUGCCCGGAGAAAGGGGACGUGAGCAUGCCACCACAGGGUGCCUUCCUGCCCGAUGACGUGGAACCGGUAGGUGAAAUUUUGGUUUGGCUGGAUAGGGAGUUGGGUAAUCAUCGGCACCCCGUCAGCCCAACAGUUAAGCCACUGCUUCACUCCAUGCCUACAUCAGAUAGCACAGAAGAAAAAUGCUGCAGAAGAAAAAUGUUGAUAAAUUGCUGGAAAGCAUCUUAAUAUUUGAUUUCUAUCUUUAUCAUUGCUGCUUGAAUGUACAUUAACAGGUUUGAAGUGUCUGGGAAGAAAAAGAAUUGUAUUGAGUAGGUACUCAGCUGAUUACCAGUGGAUUGUUAUGUUGUGGGGUGACUUGUUGACGACAUGAACAGUCACCGAGUCUCCCUCCGUGACAUCUAUCGCUGGCCCUGGGAGCUGCCCAUUCACCACGGUGGCCAGUGUCUCCUUGCACAAGUGUGUCAUCUUCACCUGGCUCACCUACGUAUGUGCAUGUUUCCAAGAAAUCAAGCAUGCAAGCAUAUAUACAUACAUAGUGGUUGAAUUGUUAAGAAUUCAUAGGGUUCGUGGUGGAGAUCAAAACCAUGGCAGAGCAUCAUGCUUACAACGAAGGUGUGCUCGACGGUGGCUGUGCCUGCUGAGAGGGCUGUGACACAGUGGAAGAAGAUGAUGGCAGCGGUGGCUGCCAUGGGAAGGCACCGGCUCUUCAUAUUUUGCAGUUUUGUCUAGUUACGUACUUAAGUACCACUAGUGAAAAUACAUCACCACCAGUUUGAACCGGCAAUGAUAAGCCGUAUAUGUAAUGUUUGUUAUACAUACGCCAGAGAGGUCGAUGAAAUUAAGGCAAUGAAACAGCAUCAUGCAUACUUACCAUGAACGUAUGCUCAACGGAUACCGCGUCUCCCAGUCGAGCUGCUGUGUAGAUCAGGAAGACAAUGGCGAUAGCUAGCGCCAUUGAGGUGGCUGCUUCCCUGGGGAGGCUUCGUCUCUCCAUGCUCGCCAUGGCUGCGCGCGUUGCUGUGCUCGAGCUACUAGGUAUAUUAUAUGAGCUUGGUGAGCUGAGCGAUAGAAGUAACCAGUGACUGAGUGCCUCUAGGAGAAUAUAUAGGACCACAGACACGUUCUUCAACACGUGCGAUUGUUGAGCACUAGGCCACUAGCUCGGCAGCUCCAGAGAUACCUCUGCCACGCCAUGACGCUAACCACGACACAGAAACAAAGUUCCAAUUCCACGUAGCAAAGUAAUAGUAUUAUAGAAAGGACUUUGUGCAUUUCUAUUUUUUUGUAACAAAAGUAAACAUGAGUUACAUGACGGUUUAAAACAACAAUAAAAUGAUUACUUGUUUUUUUCCUUUUCGUUGCAUGUCGCUAUUUGUACUAACGGUUUGUUAACCGACUAUAUGCAAGCAUCUGUACAAUUUGCACCACAAGGGUCCUAGGUGGAUAUGUGAUGCAACCCCUGGCCUCAACCAUUUUUGCCGUGACAUAAACACAAGUGUCUUGAUUGUCUUUCAAACCUGCAACCUCGUACCUCUACGUGAUGCCCUCUAGCCACUCCUCCUAUGCUUUGCUUCCUUUUAACCAUUACCGGCCAGAACAUUUUGUGAUAAUUUACAUAUAUACAAAAACAUCCAGAAGGAAGAUGAAGCCUUUUGUCCUCGCGGCUGCGCGGUAGUGGAAUCAGCGAUAUGCAUCUCUUCUUCGAGUGUCCUGCUGCUGCUUCAAUUUGGGAUACUCUGAUGAUCACCUAUGAUGGGGCGGGAAUGGCAGACCCAUGGAGCUGCGGGCAGCCCCCACACCUUCCUGAAGGCGCUUGGAAUCAUGUUCUUCUGAUCGUGCUGUGGAGAAUUUUGAACAGCCGCAACGAUGUGGUUUUCCGCUCGUAUAAUCACUGGUGGAAAACUCACCUUUAGUCCCGGUUAGAUAGGGUCAUAGAUCCCGAAAAUCCAACCAGGACUAUCUAUUCAGGACAAAAGGGGGUUGUCUUUAGCCCAGGUUAUUCACUCGGGACUGAACCGGAACUAAAGGGGCCGCCAGCAGGCGCAAGCAAGCGUCCCUUUAGUCCCUGUUGGUUUUUAUCAACCGGGACUAAAGGGAGUACGUGCAUGCGCAUGACCCUUUUUUUAAAUUCUUUUCCAUAUUAAUGCUAAUUGUUGCUUCACAAAUAUACACGUAUACAUCCUUAGCAUACACUACUUACACGUAUACGCUUGUAUUGUAUGCUAGUCGUAUAUAUAUUUCAUGAUAGUACUAUAUAUAUACAAUUCUUAGUAUAUUAUACACAUCAAACUAGUAUUUAUACAACUACUAUAUAUAUAAUAAAUUGCCCUCUUCAUUCUUAGGAUCCUCCUGUUGUGGUGUUGCUCCGUUUGGCUACUGAAUAUCCGUCGUAAUAAAAUUCUCCUUCGGGAUUUAUCACCUCGUCCACCAGAAAUCCUAUGAGACCUUGGAUUGCCAAAAUCCUCUACUUCUCCGAGAGUUUUUCUUUAAUCCACAACAUCUGUAAUUUGGAAAUAUGUAAAUGUUACAUGAACAAUUAAAUAUAAGGAGCUAGAAAACAAUUAGUUAUUAAUAGUUUUAUUUUAUGUACAUCUAUAUUGUCCGAUAUCACCUUAUCCUGCACAAAAUUGUUCAUGUGCUCAUAGACGUAGUAUCCACAUAAAUUAUUACCUUGUUCCUGUCUCAAGCACUUUAGUGGGAAAAAACAAGUUAUGAAAUAUUCGUGUUAUAGAAUGUACAAAAUGUGCAAACUUCAUACGUACUAGGAACAUUGUAUUGAAUGUAAGUUUUUCUUUGAAUUCACCACGGUGAGUCUUACGGAAUCGUUUACAUGCACUGCGAAUUAAAAUAAUGAAUGAUAAAGUGUUGGGUACAAAUUUAGGAAACAAACUUUUGCAUCGAGAUAAAGGUCCAGAAUUAUUAUAAGUUUAGCAUGUCUUGAAUGUCUUUGUACUCCGCCGGUAGUUUCCUUAAUAAAUCGAACGCAAUAACAUUGCUUUUAUCAAUCAUAAUUACAAGGAGAAUCCAGUGGAAACUACAUACAAAAAUGUUCAUAUGAGAACUAUUAAUUAGGUAAGGAAAAGGGAAAUGAAAAUAGAUGGUACCCACACUAACUUAAAGUUGUAUGGCAGUAGUAUGUAUUGCUUGUAAUUUUGUUGCUCCAAGAAAUUGCAUAUUGUGUCCAAUGUAGGCUUUGGUUGAUCCCGUAUCUGAUCUUUGUUAACGAGCAACGGAUCCAUGAAGCCAACGUUGAAGUAGGAUUCUCUACGGCACCUCUGAAUUAGCAUCCUACAUAAAAUGGAAGACAAAGUUUGUAGGGCGACCCACACAAACAAAAUAAUGAUCUGAGCCAAAGUUUACAUCUUAACAACCACACACUUACAGAACCCGGGCACUAAUGAGAGAGACAUCAAAGGUAUCCUGAUGGUACACUUCAUAUAUAUCCUUAAAUUGCAACCAUAGAAGUUUCCCACCUUUGCCAAAAAAAUCAAUCGGUUUAACACGAAGAGCGAACAUGAGCCUUUCCUUGGCCGACUGCUCCAUGUACCGUUGAUGAAAUUCAUACAUCUUUGUAGAUAGCUUCUGUACCAAUUCAGGCCUUACUAGAGGCUUGCCUACGUCAAAGGGCCAUUUAGGAACAAUAUUUUCUGGAGCUAGCAGUUUAGGUUGCCCUAGAACUUCAGCACGCGACAGACCUGUAUCUUCCCUAAACGUAAUGACUUGGAUUUGUUGUUCUAAGGGCAUUGUUGCUAUAGCUUGAGCGCCUUUAUCUGCUUGCUCCCGAGCUAGGGGACAGUACGACUGAUAGACGACUCUCCUUGUUUUCUCUUCUGAUAAGACUUAACUAACGAACGCUCGUAGUUCAAUAGUAAAGUCUCCUUUACUUCUUUUUUCAUGUCAAUAAAAAACUUUAAUUUUGCUGGAUCUACUGGCUUAGGCUCCAUCUCCUUUGCUUUUAUUUCUGCACCUUUUUUUCCAAACCACUCCCUUACAUAUGCUUGCUAUGCCUCCUGCAAUUCCUCAGUAGUCAUAUCGCCUGCUAGCUUCUGAAUGGGUUCAGACUUCUUUGUUUCUUAACAGGUUCUUUCGCCUUUGGCUGCCUUGGCUUGGAAGGUAGUGGUCUCGACUUCUUGAGAGGUGCUGCAGGUUCCUUGCUCGAACCAGAGUUUAGUCCUGGCGACGGUGAUUGGGAAGGAGUGUUUUGGUCGUUGUCGCUUGCACCACCAGGAUUCGAUGGAGAUAGAGAUGGUGAUCGAGCAGGAUGCAACGGUCCUAGUGGUGAUGACGGUCUUGGAGGUGGAUGUGCUGUAGAUGACGGUCUUGAGUUCCAAGGAGAUGGUGGCUACAGGGGAUCUAUGGGAAGCAAUGAUGCCUCCUUGCCAUGGAUGAUGAUGUAGCAUUUGCGCCAUAGAAUGAUAUCGUGAAGUGCAUCUUCUAGUGUCCUUUCCUCGUCACCUCCGGGGAGGUCGAGCUCUAAGCCUUCAUAUUGACUAUCACAAAUCUGCUCUAGGCCAACGCUGGAGUAGCUAGGUGGAAUCUCCAUACCAUGGCUUGUCUACCCUGGCAAAAUUGGUAAAGCACUUUCGUACGCCACCUGUACAUAUAGGAGAAAUAAAGAAGUUAUUAAACUCCCGAGGAGUGGAUCAAUUGAGAUAAUUGCAUAAAUUAUAUAUAUGUAUACCUUAACAGUGAGGUUGCCAAAUGGUCUGUACAACUCACAUGAGGUGCGCUAAGUGAUGUUAUCCAUAAGGUAUCGUUGGUUGUCCUGUGAAACCACGAGUAAUCUUGGAAUGUUCUUAUCGGGGACCCCUGUGGAAGCACAGCUGCUUCGGCGUUGAGAAGGGCUGAUGAUGACGUUGGGAUCUGGCAGUGCUCCUAAUUAGGCCAUCUCAGUAACUGCCAGGGCCACUCAUCGAUUAAUUUGUUACGGCAUUCUUACUUCUUGUGAAUGCACUUUAGUUUCUAACAUGCCCUGCAACUCUCCUCUUGCGCAUCCUUUUCUUCUCUUUCGGCUUUUGUACGUGUUGAUGUCCCUACGGAAAGCAAACUUCGAUGGAACGACCCCGAAGCCUCGGCAACAUCCUAGGUGUUCGGGAUUCCUAAGCGCCAAACUGAGCUCAUCGUUCUCUCUAUCAACCUUCAAGUUUCCCGCUUUAGCAUCUUCAAUGUUUCGGAUAAGCUUGAGGGACUUCUGAUGUAUUGUUUUGUUGAAUAUAAGUGUCCCAUCCUUUUGGCCCUCCAUGAGCGUAAUACCAAUUCUUCGAUCAAUCGGGCCAGUCAAUAGUCGCUAGUAAGAUACCUCGACCGAAUAGGUCUUGUUCCAUCUUUUUCCAUUUAGGAAUUGCACUGAUGUAACCACCUCACCCUAGACGAUGAUGUACUCCUUCUGGGCAUUGGUUUAGUUGACAUGAACCUUGUUCACACUACCUUCACUCAUCUUGUAUUCUAGAAAUGAGUUCUAGUGGUCCCUUAACUUUGGCCUGUCAUUAAAAUCUGGAGUUUGGCCCUUCUUGAUAAAGUUGGCAUCCAUAUUUUUCUUGAAGGUUUGGAAUUGAGUUGCCAUCUUCUUUAGUGUCCUGUCUUUCACAACUUUUUCUUUGACACUAUUAGGAAGUGCGAAGUGUUUCUUGACAUCUACCCACAACACAUCUUUCUAUGUCUGCGGGAGCACGUAUGGAUCAUCUUUUUUACCCUUGCAUUCUCUAAUGCUGAUGGGCAUGUUGUCCCUUACAAUAGCCCUACAUUGACACAUGAACUUUCUAGCCACUUUUCGGGAGCAAUUGGUUGGCCCUCUUCUGUGACUUCGGUGAUGUGAAGCUUUCCCUCCAUUAUAUUUGUACGACCUCGCGGCUUAUUUCGCUUUAUCGAUCUAGAGGGCUAAAAGUUCAAGAUUUGUUAAUUAGUACAUGGUAAUAAUGAAUAUGAAAUUAUAGAUAGGGUAAAACAAUGAAAAUGAUAUAUACCUUGCCAGAACCUUCCAUCACGGCAAGGUCUUGUUCUGCAUUGUCAUCAACGCCGCGCUCGGCUCAUCAUUGCCAUCACCGGACAAAUUGAGGAAGAUGUCCGUCUGGCUGCCCUCAUCCUCGGUGUAGGUUCUUGGAACGUUGGAGCCACUACCACUAGCAAUAAUCUGCUCCAUUAUAUACCUUGCAUCCUCUUCAUCUCCCAUCUCAACUAAUAAUGACAUUAGUUAAACACACAUGUAAUCAUAGAUACAUUAAAUUAAAAAUUGUAUCAAGUAGUACAAUUAAUGUAUAAACAUGAAAUCAUAGUACAUAUAAAAGAAACUUGUGAAAUAUACACAUGAAAUAUAAUUAAGACCCAUUAAUGAGGAAGGAUAAAUCUUCACAGUAAGCCUCUAAUAAGAUACUUGUGAAUUCAAAUGACUCUGAUAAGAUUCAUCACAGUAAGCCCUCAGAUAACUACAAGUGAAAGCAUGUUACAUACUGGAACUUUGAUCCACCAUAAAUUCAUAAAAUACCUAAUAUUUGGACAUUGAUGCCAAAAAAGACAAGAGCAUGACUGUUUAUUUUCUAAAUGACCUUUUGUUCACAUUAACUACCAACGAGUUUCGAAAAUCAAUAUCACACUAAUGACAUGUAUAUACAAUUAAAAGAAACUUGUGAAAUAUACGAUUUUUCUACGCAUUAAAACAAAUUUGUAAAAUUUUUCUAUAAGUAUUUAAAAUAAUUUUUACUAAUUUCUCUAAGUAUUUCAAGUAAUUUGUACAAUUUUCCUUAGUAUUUAAACUACUAAUUUGUACAAAUUUUUCUAAGUAUUUAAACAAAUUUGUACAAUUUUUCUAAGUAUAUAAACUAGUUCAUACUAAUUUUCUAAGGAUUAAAUAUAAUUUAUACAAAUUACACAUUAAAAACACUAAAAAAAAUGGCGCUAGUGUCAGUACCGGCGGGGCCGGCGGAUGGCCAACGUCGAGGCGGGUGCGGACGGUGGGACGACGGCCGAGGCAUGCGGUGGGGUGGGUGGACGGUGGACGGCAGGAUGGUGGGCCCCGCGGUGGAGCGUGUGGAUGGCGUGGCGGCGGAGCCUGUGGAUGGCAGGGCUAAGGAUGGCAGAUGGCAGGGUAGCGGACGGCAAAUGGCGGGGUCGGCAGAUGGCGGACUGCGGGUGGGAGGGUGCCACUGGGGAUCUGGGGCACGAAAGCGAAAUGCAGUGGUGGUGACGGAUCCACGGAUGGCGGGAUGUGGUGGUGCGCAAGGGGAGGCCGGGGAGGGCAACGGGGAGACAAGCGAGAUGAGGUGGUGAAGUUUUAGACUGAGGAGACGAGGCGGGGAGAAGGGGGCGGACGUUAUAACCCCCUACUCCUGUGUUGAAUUUGAAACCGGUUGCAAAUUCCAACUGGGACUAAAGGCCCCCCUUUUCAUUUCCCGCUACUUUUGUAGUUUUAAUUUAUAUAUGUUUUAAGUUGUUUUGCACUAGUUUUGUUAAAGAAAAUGAAAACUUUACUUAUUUUGAACAUGCAAAAAUAUAUUAAAUUAGUAAGUAUAUUUAAAAUAAGUUUGAAUCAGUCAUUAAUUCAAUACUAGUUGAUUAAUUUUCUAAAAUAAUUAUUUUAAUGCAUCACUAUCAUCAACAAACUCUUGAAUUAAAUAAUUUCAAUGCACAAAAAUGCAAUUGAUGUAUGUGGUUAAGUUAACAUUGUUUAUAUUGAUUGAAUAAAGGUUCACCAUAGAGCAUUACAAUAUAAUUCAAAGAUUCUAAUGGCCAUAGAGCAUUACAUAAAGGUGCACCAUUUUAGUGCAUUACAAUGUAACAUUAAAAAACUUCUUCUUGAUGAAAGUUCCAUGGUCAUGAUCGCGGUGUAAGUACGGAGCCUCUUAUUUGGCUAGCAUGAUGCUUGGGUCAACUUCAACAGUGAAUGGAGGUAUGUUAUCAAACUGAUCAUAAUCAUCUAACUGGUCUGUUUUGUCCUCAUCUCCCACGAUUUUUCUUGUACCUAGAAGAACUAUGUGGCGCUUUGGCUCCCAUGGUUUUUUUUAUCUUCUAAUUUUUUCUUGGGUUUGCUAGACAAGUCCUUCACAUAGAAAACCUGAUGCACAUCAUUGGCAAGGACGAAUGGUUCAUCAUUGUAUCCAGUCUUAGUCAGGUCCACUAUUGUCAUUCCAUACUGAUCUUUCGUUGCGCCACCAUCAGUUAGCUUCACCCAUUGGCAACAAAACAGAGGGAGGUUCAGCGGUCCAUAUUCGAGUUCCCAAAUCUUCUGUAUGAAACCAUAAUACGAGUCCUUGCUCCUGUUGUUGUCUCUAGUAUCUAUACAAACACCACUAUUUUGGUUGGUGCUUUUUGGGUCUUGGGCUCUCGUGUAAAAUGUAUAACCAUUUAUCUCGUAUCCUUGGAAUUUCACGAUUGUGCUAGAAGAUCCUCUAGCUAACCAAGCGAUUUGUUCGUGAAUUGUGGAGUUACCCAUAAGGUGUUGAUGCAACCAAGAGGGAAAAGUAUCCAUAUGAUGACGUAUAAUCCAGGCAUCGGAUUUCGUCGGGUAUUGGGAAAAUAGAAUUUGCUUGUGUUCCCCAAUAUACGGAGCCACAAAGGAUGAUUGUUGUUGAACCGUGAAGUGUGCUUUAUGGAACAAAUCACUAUCAUUUCUCAAACUUGAUUUCCUUCCAAGGGUGUCUGUUCCUUGUAGCCUCGCCUCGUGGCAUGAUGUUGGAACCCCAAUUGAAUUAAUUGAGUCAAUAAAAUCAACACAAAACUCAAUGACCUCUUCUAUUCAAUACCCCUUGGCGAUGCUUUCUUCUGGACGGGCACGAUUAAGAACAUAGUUUUCAAGGACUGACAUGAACCUCUCGGAAGGCUACAUAUUGUGCAGGAAUAUUGGACCGAGAAUAGUAAUCUCUUUGACUAGGUAAACUAGGAGGUGUAUCUUAAUAUUGAAGAAGGAUGGUGGAAAUACUAACUCAAAGCUGACAAGACAUUGUACCACAUCGUUCUGUAGCUUUAGUAUCUUGGUUGGAUCAAUUGCCUUCUACAAAAUCACAUCAAGAAACAUGCAUAGCUUUACGAGCGUCAAUCGUACAUUUUCUAGUAGAAUACCCCUCAGUGCAAUCGGAAGCAACUAGGUCAUCAACAUGUGGAAGUCAUGGGUCUUUACAUUUGUGAACUUCUUUUCUUUCAUAUUUAUUAUUCCCUUUAUAUUCGAGGAGUACCUAGAUGGAACCUUGAUACUAUUCAUGCAUUCAAACAUGCUAUCCUUCUCUUCCUUGCUGAGAGUGUAACUGGCAGGAUAUAAGUAGUGUUGUCCUUUAUCUCUCUUUUACAGAUGUAGGUCAUCUCGUUGCUUCAUACGUUUCAGGUCCUGUCGUGCUUCCAAUGUAUCUUUUGAGUUCCCACAACAAUCCAUGAAGCCUAGCACAUUCAUGCAAAGAUUCUUCGUCAGGUGCAUCAUGUCUAUUGCGUUGCGGACCUCUAGGAUUUCCCAAUAAACUAGCUCCCAAAAUAUAGACUUAUUCUUCCACAUGGGUGCACAUCCAUUAUCAUUGUUCGGAACAGUUUCACUACCAAGACCCUUUCCAAAGACUACCCUUACAUCCUUUAUCAUCUCAAAUACACACUUUCCAUUAGGUGUGCAGGAUUUUUACGAUGGUCUGGCGCCCCUUUGAAAUGCAUCCCUUUCUUUCUUAACGGGUGGUUAGUAGGAAGAUAUCGACGAUGGCCCAUAUACAUGACCUUUCUACAAUGUUUCAAACACAUGCUGUCUAUGUUGUCUAAACAGUGGGUGCAUGCCCGUUAUCCCUUGUUUGUUUGUCCGAAAAGGUUAUUCAGCGCAGGCCAAUCAUUGAUGGUUACGAAGAACAAUGCUCAUAGGUCAAAGCUCUCUUGUUUAUCCUUAUCCUAGAUACGUAUAACUUCUUCCUUUCAGAGUACUAAAAAUUCAUCAACCAACGGUCUCAGGUACAUGUCAAUGUCGUUGCCGAGUUGUUUUGGGCCUUGGAUAAACAUCGGCAUCAUAAUGAACUUCCGCUUCAUGCACAGUCGAGAAAUGUUGAACAUACAUAAAGUCAUAGGCCAAGUACAAUGACCACUACUCAACUCACCGAAUGGAUUAAAUCCAUCAGUACUUAAACCAAACCUUAUAUUCCUUGCAUCACUUUCAAAGUCCAGGAAUGCUCUAUCAAUUGAUCUCCAAUGGGCCCCAUCCGCGGGGUGUCUCAGCAUGUCAUCUUGCUUACGUUCUUCUUUGUGCCAUCGCAUCAACUUAGCAUUUGCCUUGUUUCUGAACAAACUCUUCAAACAUGGUAUUAUAGGGAAAUACCACAUCACAUUCGUAGGAACUCUUUUCUUGGGUGGCUGCCCCUCAACAUCACCAUGAUCAUCUCGCCUGAUCUUAUACCACAUCGCUCCGCGCAUAGGACAAGCAUCCAAUUUCUCAUAUUCAUCACUAGAAUAGAGGAUGCAGUCAUUAAGGCAUGCAUGUAUCUUCUGAACCUCCAAUCCUAGAGGGCAAACAACCUGUUUAGCUUCAUAUGUUGUGGACAGCAAUUCAUUAUUCUCGGGAAGAAUGUUCUUUACAAUUUUCAAUAUCCCCUGAAAUGCCUUAUCGGGCACAUCAUUUUUUGCGUUCCAUUGCAGCGUUUCCAGUGUGGUACCUAGUUUUUUGUGCCCCUGCUUGCAAUCUGGGUACAACAAUUUUUUAUGAUCAUGUAUCAUGCACUGCAACUUUUCUGAUUCCUUCUCAGUUUGAAGUCUUUCUGUGCAUCCCGUAGCACCUGACCAAGAUCAUCAAUAGGGCCGUCUUCUGCAAACUCUUCUUCAUCAGCCUCGCCCAUUGUAGUAUCUGCAAAAGCUUGGCCAGACCGGAAUGUUGUUAUCAUCCUCCUCUUCUUCACCAUCUUAAAUCAUAAACCCUCUUUCGCCGUGCUUGGUCGAAAAACCAAAUAGCUAGGCAUAAAACCAUAUCUAAACAAGUGGUUGUGAACAGUCCCACAGGAAGAGUAGCCCUUCUUGUUACUGCAUUGAAAGCAUGGAUAACAUAUGAAUCCCUUCUCUGGCUUGUUGGAUUUGGCCACUUUGAGAAAAAAUAAUGCAAUCCAUUAAAAACUUCUUGGUCCAUCUGUCCACGUUACAUCCAUUGCGGGUCCAUCCGCAUGAUAUUACAUGAGAAAUGGACAUAGGUCUUCGUAUUAGAUAAAGAACUUGAUCAAUAUUAGGUAGGGGAAAGAAUAGAGUAAAUGUGUUUAUAAUAUUUAGUCCUUGCAAUGAACAUGAGAUAAAUAAAUUAUUACGUGAGAAAUGGACAUAGGUCUUCGUAUUAGAUAAAGAACUUGAUCAACAUUGAUAAUUUACACUAAUCAACCUUCAUAAAGAUAAAAAAAUUCACAUGAAAAUUACACCAAUCAACAUUCAUAACAUUCACUAGGUCGACAAAAAGAAAAAUGCUAAAUUCUGGAACAAGACAAUAAAGAUACAUAUACACUAAAGAUUACAGAUGCUCCAUAGUAGACUUCACGUAGUCAAUAAUCCUAAAAUAAUAGUACAACAUAGCAGAAUGUUCGCCCUCCAAGCCAUCUCUGCACAUGACUCAAUCUUCUACAAAGUGUACGGCGAGCCACCUCCGCUUCUCCAGUACCAGAGAAUAGUGUAAGCACAUUCAUGCCAUGUGCAGACACUGUUCUCUGGUAUUGGAGGAGCGGAGGGACCAGCUCUUUAGAAUGUUCCUCCAAGUCUAUGGAGAGCCACCUUCGCUCCUCCAGUACCAGAGAAUAGUGUACGCACAUUCAUACCAUGUGCAGACACUGUUCUUUAGGAUUGGAGGAGAAAAGGUGGUACAUCCAUUGCCGGUCCAUCUGCAUCGUAUUACGUGAAAAAUGAACAUAAGGCUUCGUAUUAGAUAAAGAACUUGAUCAGUAUUAGGUAGGGGAAAAAUAGAGUAAAUGUGUUUAUAAUAUUUAGUUGUUGCAAUAAACAUGAGAUAAAUAAAUUAUUGGUCAAAGAAAUAUAAUUAUUGUUAAAUUACAGUGACAUGAGAAAUUGUAGCAAUGACCAAAUUCUAUUUCUUACACCUACAAUUUAUUUACCUUAAUUUUAUUGCAAUGACUAAAUAUUAAAAACACAUUUACUCUAUUUUUUUCCAUACCUAAUAUUGGUCAAGUUCUUUACCUAAUACAAAUCAUAUAUAACAAGCAAGCUAUCCAUCAAAUUCUAGCUCAAAAAUAUGUAUAAAUAAAAAUUCUCUUCAUUUUCGCUCAUUCUAAAAACUAAUUAUUCUUUAUCUCUAAAGCAUAAAACAAAGCAUAAUAAUAAUAAAUGAAGGAAGGAUGAAGUAGCUAACCUUUACAACACUUUGGAUGAGUGAAUCCCCACGAAAAUGAGGAAAAAAAUAUCGGGUAGCACCUCCCAAAGGUUGCUUGCUCACCAUGGAGGAGGAAGAAGGUCUGGUGAGUGGCUCGGGCUUGGGGAGGAAGAAGGUGAAUUUACAGGCGAGGAGAUUUUAUUCCGGUUAGAAACACCAACCGGGACAAAAGCCCCCUCCCCCCUAGUCCUAGUGUUUCCAAUUGGGACAAAAACUCCCCCCGUCGAUGGCCAUCGGUGGUUCAUUUUUGACCCGGGAUAAAAAAAACAUCGGAUGGAAGGUGAGUUCUCUACCUGUGAAUGCUGACACAAAUGCAACGCUCCGGGCAAUCGCUCGCAACUUAGAUCUUUGGUCUCAUCCAUACCGGGACUCUGUAAUUAAACACCAGCUCUCACAAUGGCGUGCCCAUGUGAGGCUGCGUCCAGGCAGCAAGCUACCCCCGUCUUUGUGCUAGCACGCACGCCGUCUUUGUGCUAGCACGCACGUCUUGCGUGCAGAGCUCGUCACUUUGUAAACUCUUUCUAUGGAAGAAACUUCUAGAGGAAGAGAACGUCUAUGGUCAUUCGCAAAUGAAAAAACACUCGAGUAUUCUUCAACAUAUUGUAUGUAGUUGUAGCUCUUAAUCCACCUAAGCUUCUACUUGCUCAUAUGAUGCCAAAUUCAGUUUAGAAGAGAAUUAAGCUACUGGAAGGCAUUGCCCACUACAAAGUCUCUAAGAUUCCUAUGUGCUUUCUUUUCAAAUUUAUCCUUAUUUUCAUGGAUCGAAGCAAAUCAGCAACCAGCACUCACUGAUAAAAGGAUUCCUAACAAACAUAGCCCGCAACGGUUAAUAAGUAAUGAGAAAACCAUACCUAAAAGUUCUAAACUAUAAUUGCAAAAACUCUCGGAUAUGUCAGAAUAUUCUAAAGGAUAAUAUAUAACAAUCGGGCAUUCCAAAAAGCAAACAAGAAUUCAUGAAGGUAUUGUGUAGUGUAUGGAAAUCUUACGGUAAAAGUUAGAUUAGAUAUGCUAUAUAAACUCAUAGAUACUCAACAAAUCAUAUUCGAUUUAUGUUUAACUGUUGAAAUAAAGCGAAAUAUAUAAAACUCUGAUCAUUAGGAGGUCUUAGUUAUUCUGUUGUUUCUCCAUAUGUUGAAUUAUAUUUAUGCAUAUAUAGCUGUCUCACCUCAGUUCCUUAUUAUUAUCAUUGUUGUUGUUGUUGGACAUGGCUUAAUAAUUCAGAGGCAAGGAGAGGAGGCAUCUCACGCAACGACACAGUUACUAUACUAGCUUAGCUUGAUGGCCAUGCAAUAAUAGCUUACUUUGAUUGGGCGUCCACUCGUGGUUCACGCGCAGCAGUGCCUGACCACAAAAGGACACUCAUAUAUAGUACUUGUAAGAUGGUCAGUAGGCAUGAGCCUGAAAGUAUCAUAUAAACUAACUGAUUAGUACUUGGCUGUCUGGAAAUUUUGGUCAGUGACGAAUAUGAUUCUAACACCAAUCUCUCUGUCGGAUCGAUGGGCAGGCAUGCAGGAACUUGCAUUGCAUGUGCCGGUGCCCUAUUAGGUAGAUGAGUAUGGAGAUGUAACACCAUUGUUGCAUUGCACAUGUAUAGGCCCUCAAAUCGAGCAAUAGAUUCAGAAGAGGUCGAACCGGACAAAUAGAGCGGCUUUUACAACGCGCCCCGUCACCAGAGCCUGUCCCCUGGCUUGCCGAAGAGAUACGAUUCCGAGGCACUGCUCCUCCGGCUCCAUUUUAAUUUCUCAAUCCAUUUUGGUUUGGAGCGUGGUGAACUAGCUAAUUAGUGAUACUUCAGUGGUGUCCGGCGCCCCUGAUCCAAUAGCAUGACUAAGUUUGAAUGCACCUAAAAAAGAGUACUCGAUCCCACUGUUCCCAAAUAAGUUUCUUUUCUGAAAAAAAUCAGACACAUUAUUAUUAUUAGUUGUGAGAAUUGAUCACAUUACUCCUAAUUACUUAUAUUAUUUUAAUUGAAAGCCGCGCUGUCAAUUUUGUUUCUAGAUCCUUAAUAAAUGCACAAGGAUUAGAAUCAGAAAAAUAGGACAUGCACAUCCAAUAGAAAGUACGACGGUGUCUGUAUUAUAUUAGUGGCAAACAACAGCCAGCAAUGCACACAGGAAAUCAGGAAUGUAUGGCCCCUUGACACUUGUAGGUUCAAACUCUGAAUGCAGAAUCUAAGCCAUCUUCUUCUUUUCAAAGUAAACACGAAAGAAUCAUGGCACUCGAUCCAUCAAUGUAGACAUGUUAAAAAGAACUAUAGCACUCAAAGUGCUUAACUUGCAAAGCAGCACGAGUGACCAAGACGAGUUUCUAAGUUAUAUUUUUAAGAGUUGAUUAUUAAAACUAGAGAGCACCUCAUCCGUACCGCUAAAAUGUCAUCUGUAUCGGUUAUCAUACCAACAUAAUGAAGCCGACGCAUAUAAUUAGCACCCGUGCUGGCGUUUACACAAACUGGUCCGGAUAGUAAAACUAGAAUUUAUAAAUAAAUGAAGAUAUUCUAAAAUUAUUGAAAAAGGUUGUCAACUACAAAAUUCCUCUUCCGUUUUGCUGGUCUAGGGGAGUCCUUGUUUGUAGACCAUGUUUAGUUAUAAAUUGCCAACACGGUAAAAGCUAUGAAUGUAUCGUGGUUAAUGGCCAUUUAAUGAACUUAUAAAGGAAAAUAACGAUUGUGCUUUCCGCGUUCCAAAAAGCAAUCAAGAAUUCAUGAAGGUCUUUGUGCAAUGUUAGAUGAGAAAUGCUAUAUUAAGUAAUAAAUCCAGGUACUUCACAAAUCAUGAUCGAUGGAUGUUGAACACUGUUGAAAGAAAGACGAAUAAAGCAGAGUCACCUCAGACUUAAAGCACCAUGUCUGAGCGACCCACCUCACCUUGCCAGGUCACUGGUCCUGCCCUCGUGGUUCACGCGCACCAGGCCAGCAGACAAGCUAUGAUGUUGCCAGCAGUGGUCAGUACACAAAUGUAUCAGUCGGAUCCAAGGGCAGGCAUUUGCAUUGUGAUUGUGUUUGAACAUGGAGGUUUCAUUGUGAUUGUCAGGCAUCCAUGUAUAAGCCCUCAAAUCGAGCAACACUAUUUUUGACAGUCACUGUCAAGCAUCAAUUGCAUAUGAGCUGAGCAGCCCAGGACAAACUUAUGAUGUGCCAGUCAGAUGCCUAACCACAAAAAAGAACAUUACGAAAGUAACAGAAAAUAACUGACGUGUACUUGGCCUCUACUUUCUCCAUCAUCUCUCAGUCUCACUCCGCCUAACACACGGAUAGCACACCAUGGACCCGACACCAUGCAUGCCGAUUUCAUAUUAUUAAUAUUUAAUUUAUGAAUGGUUGUCCAAACUAUAUUGUUGGGGACCGCCCCAUAACGCACCCUGAACGAAGCCGGCGCGGAGCUCUCCCCGACACCAACACCGACUUCGUGAUUAUACUCUUCCACGAAGCUAAUAAUUAACCGAAGUUAACUGGUCCGAAGAUGUUCGUUCUGUGAUUUUGUAGGCGAAGAUUCCCGAAGUUGAAACCUCCAUGGAACUCCCAGCGACUUGACUUCGAGGAGAUGCCACGACCAGAGCCUGAGGUUAGCUGGUCUCGACCAACGAAGGUGGAGUGCGGGCGGAGGCGUACUUGGUGCGGGCGAAGCUAACGAGUAGGGAAAGGAGAACGAAAUCAGGAUAGUCUUGGAAUCACAUCGUUGUGGAGCACCUUGGUAAUAAAGAUUUUGGGAAGGGUUAGAAAUGUAAUCUCACUUUGAAAGUGACAUCUUGGGUAAGGGUUAAGUUACUGUCUUGUACGGGAUAUGCCUGGGAUGUAGUUGUUGAGUAUGGGUAUAACGGGUAUACGGAAAUGUAACUUUAUAGCACUAUAAAAGGAGGUGAAUCGUCCCCUCUUAAACGGACAUUAUUCAUUGAUAGGACAGCCACUGUUACAUUCGCUUGAGAUAUCUUUGCCUUCGUGUUGCUACUUCGUCUUACCUAUUGUUUGAUUAAGGCGCAACAUUUGGUGCCCACCAUGGUCUGACUCGACAAGUAGCCUAGAUGCCACCACAACGGAAUAAGAGACUUGCAGUACAAAGAGAAGUCGGCACAGUGGAGGUCGGUCAGCUUAUAACUCCCGAGGCCACAGAUCAGGUUCUUUCAGAUAAGGAGGAACGCCUUGCAAGAGUCGAGCAAACCCUAAGGACAAAAGCAAUGAAUAAGAGAUCUGUACCCGAGGUCAACCACCAAAGCCAACAACCCACAGCAAACGAAGCUACCAAACGCACUGACGGCCAACAGAGCCAGCAGCCCACAAUGCCCGAAGCUACUGGCCCCACUGACCUGGACAAUGAGCUAGACUCAGUCCUCCAGGAGAUAGAGGAGGUCAAAAGAAAAAAGGAACAGUUAGCACGACUGGUGCAACAACAGAGGAAGCCUCGAGCAGACUAUCAAAAUUGAACGAAGCCAGGCGACAGCUGGAAGCAUUACAGAAAGAAAUUGCGGAGCUUGAAAGCCCACAUGAGAAUGCAAACCCAGCCGCAGCUUAUUUUCACCAAAGCCCCACCGUUGAUCAGGCACAAUUCCAACCCAGUCUCAACUUCGGGCAAGGCACCCAACAUCACUCAUCUGGGGUGUCUCUCGUGGUCGACAUCACAUCACCACUCUCAAUCGGGCUCCAAACCGCACCGUGGCCAGCAACAUACAAGUCAACCACCCUACCCAAAUUCAACGGACGGACAGAUCCACGACAAUUCCUAAUGAGUUACGAAGCCGUCGUAGCUUCAGCCAGGGGAGAUGAUGUCGUCCUCACCAAGUCCUUCAUAAUUGCUUGCGAAGGCACAACACUCAACUGGUACUCACUACUCCCUCCGCACACGGUGAUUAGUUGGCAUGACCUCAAGGCGAAGGUCACACAAAACUUUCAGGGUUUCCAUCACCCCCAAAUGGCCCAAGCAGACCUUUUCCAAUGCAAACAAAAAGACAAGGAGCCACUUGCAGAAUAUGUAAGAAGAUAUGUCCAGCUUCGUUCCCAAGCGCCGCACAUUGAGGAAUCCGUAGCAAUAUCCGCAUGCAUCGCGGGCCUCACCCUUGGCCCAACAGCGUCAAAGCUAUCAAGGAAGGAGCCCAAAAUGAUGAGUGCUCUUUUCAGCAAACUCGAUGAAUACAUCAGGUCCGACGAGGACCAUCGUAGAAGAGUGGCGGAACGUAACAAGGAAAGGCAAACAAACCAGAACCGAAGCUGGCAACCUUCGCCUUACAACAAGCCUCAAAACUCUAGCCAGAACCGUGUCAUGAACAUUGAGGGAAACCAAAACUAAAGCCAGAGCCAAAACCAAAACAACAACACCCAAAGAGGGGGCCACUCUGGUAGAGGACGAGGUAGAGGAAGACAGCAGAAAUCAUUCUACUGCGUCAACCAUGGCCACCAGAACCAUCAUAAUACAGAGUGGUGCCCCAAAAAGAAAGAAGAAGAGAGAAAGGCUGCAGAAGAAGCCGUGAAAGCAGCCGCGCAAGCACCCAAAACAAUCCACCACACAGCUUUUUACCCGCACCCAAGUUUUUACCCCAACCAGCCUAGCUUCGCCAAUUUCCAGCAACCAAUGACCUGGCCUCUUCCGCCGCACAUACAACCGUACCACCAAACAAUCCCGCAACAAGCCAGCCCAAACCCACCUCAGAAGCCUCAAGAAACACUACCUCCACCCCCAAGCAUCCCGCCAUAAUGCCCAAACCAGAGCCAAGCAUGCAAAACAACAACCAAAAUUCCUUACAUACCUUCGACAGGAUAAUGCCAAUCACCGAGGGCUCCUCUCUAGAGUUCGAGAACAAAAGGCAGAGGCGAAACUAUUUCUGAGAAGUCAAUGUAAUCAUACCCGACGGACCCCCAAUGAAUCCAGAAGCGGCACACAUGCCCAUAACCUUCACAGGGGAAGACUUCAAGCUCAAGACAACCUCGCACAACGAUGCGAUGGUCAUUAAAGCGCUGAUAGCAGGCUGGACGGUUGGAAAAGUCCUAGUUGACACGGGCAUCUCAGCGAACAUCCUCUUCGCAAAUGCCUUCAAAGAAAUGAACUUUGACAUGAACACACUCGACCCAGCCGACAUCCCACUUCUCGGCUUCGGUGGAAAGCCAGUGAAAGCCUUAGGGAAAAUUGCUCUCCCGGUCUCGUUUGGGGAUCGCGACAAUGCGAGAACAGAACACAUCACUUUCGACGUGGUGGAGAUGCACUAUCCCUAUAAUGCAAUACUUGGUCGCGAUUUCAUCACCAAGAUGGAUGCAACAAUUAGGCAACUAUACCUAUGCAUGAAAAUACCCGCGCACAAGGGGGUCAUAACAGUGUACGGUGACCAGCAAAUGGCAAGAAACAUAGAAAGAGGGGUAGCUCCGGGCCAAAAGAAUGUCCACCACCAAGCGAAGCUGAAAGCAUAGCAAAAAAAAAGACCCACGACGAGCCCAAGAGGAACAAAGAAAAAAUAAAGAUCAGUGCUGAUGGCGAAACAAAGCGGGUACUCCUAGACGGGUACAUCACAGAUAGGUUCGUAACAAUUGGAGCCAACCUCGACCCCGAAGAAGAACGCAACCUCAUCGCGUGCCUCAACAAGAACAAAGACAUCUUCGCUUGGUCCGCAGGCGAUCUCAAAGGAGUGGAUAGGGAAAUCAUCGAGCAUAGCCUCAAUAUCAGACAAGGAGCUAAGCCAAAGAAGCAGAAGCUAAGGAAAAUGUCCGACGAAACGGUCCAAGCCGUAAAGGCCGAAGUUGACAGACUCCUCGAGGCUAACGUAAUCAGGUCAAUCCAGUAUCCUGAGUGGCUAGCUAACACAGUGCCAGUAAAAAAGAAAAAUGGCAAAUGGAGAAUGUGUAUAGACUUUACAGAUCUCAACAAGGCCUGCCCAAAAGAUGAUUACCCCCUUGAGAGGAUUGACAAGGUGGUGGAUGACGCUGCAAACAGUGAAAUGCUCUUGCUACUUGACCUCUUCUCGGGGUAUCACCAGAUCAGAAUCAAGAAAGAGGAUAAGGGGAAAACAAGCUUCGUGACACCUUUUGGAACGUUUUGCUUCGUGCGUAUGCCAAAGGGGCUAAAGAAUGCAGGCCAAACAUUCUCAAGGAUGACGGCAACAGUCCUGGACAACCAGCUUCGGUGUAACAUCCUGGCUUACGUGGACGAUAUCAUCGUCAAAAGCGCCAAGCGAAGUGACCACAUUCUGGAUCUCACAGAAACAUUUGCUAAUCUGAGGUCAGCCAACCUAAAGCUAAACCCAGAAAAGUGUGUAUUCAGGGUUCAGAGAGGAAAGGUCCUAGGCUGCCUGGUAGCGACAAAAGGCAUUGAGGCCAACCCAGACAAAAUCAAGGCGCUGGCUAAUAUGUUAGAGCCAACUUCGCUCAAACAAGUCCAACGACUCACGGGUAGGAUAGCUGCGCUAAACCGUUUCAUCCCAAGAGCGGUAGAGCGAAGCCUCCCUUUCUUCAAAACACUCCGAAGCUCCAAAACACUUGAAUGGGGACCUGAGCAAAGCAAAGCAUUCCAAGACCUCAAAGAGUACCUACAGUCUAUGACAAAGCUAUGCCCGCCAGAGCCCAAAUCACCACUGCUAUUGUACGUCUUAGCCUCAGCAACAGCCGUAAGCGCGGCGUUGAUUCAAGAAAAAGAAAUCGAAGGCAAAAUGAAGCAAAUACCAGUUUACUUCGCAUCCGAAGCCUUGAGUGGCUCAAAGCUACACUACUCUGAACUCGAGAAAAUCGCAUACGCCAUCAUUAUGGCAGCGCGGAAACUGCGACACUACUUUGAGGGGCAACUCUAUUUCAACACCAUGGCUUCGCUGCGUCGAUUAUGAAACAUGUAGCAAACUGCUCAAAGAAAUACACAGUGGUUUUUGCGGAACCCACAUUGGCUCAAGGGCUCUUGUAGGAAAAGCAAUCCGACAGGGAUUAUACUGGCCAUCAGUCCACACGGACGCACACUUGCUUGUACGCAGCUGUGAGGCCUGCCAGAAAACAGCAAGGCAGACGCAUGCACCCUCGCUCCCGAUUCAGCUCAUCCCACCUUCGUGGCCUCUCCAGAGAUGGGGCAUGGACCUAGUUGGUCCACUGCCAACAGCACAAGGAAAUUGCAGAUUUGCAGUAGUUGCAAUAGACUACUUCACCAAAUGGGCCAAAGCCAAACCACUGGCUAUCAUCACAUCGGCUUCGGUACAAAAGUUCUUCUAGCAAAACAUUGUCUGCCGGUUUGGAGUCCCAAGGGAACUAACCGUUGACAACGGCAAACAGUUUGACUGCAUCUCAUUCAUAGAUUUCUGCGCCAACAUCGACACUAAGAUAAAAUUCUCGUCUGUAUAUCACCCGCAAUCAAACGGAGCUGUGGAAAGGGCGAACAGCACCAUAUUUACUGCAGUCAAAAAAUGUUUGUUCGAUCAAAAAAAGGGCAAAUGGGUCGAUGAACUCCCAAGAGUCAUAUGGUCCCAUAACACGAUAGAAUCCAGGGCAACAGGCUUUACUCUGUUCAAGCUCCUAUUCGGAGCCGAAGCUGUAACCCCUGAAGAAAUAAAAAACAAAAGUCUAAGAGUCCUUAAGCCCGGGGGUGUGGACGAAAUUGCCAGAGUUGAGAAAGACAUGAUUGAGCUUAACAUCAACGAGGCCAUCGAAAACCUGGACAAGUAUCAGGAAGAAACCUAAAGAUGGAGGGACCAACACAUUCAAGAGAGACAGAUCAAUGUCGGUGACCUCGUCAUCAAGAGGAAAAAGAAUUGGGAAAACCCAGGCAAGCUACAAGAGACUUGGGAGGGCCCCUACAUUGUCAUAAAAAGUGGCAGACCCGGCUCUUUCCACCUCGCAGACCAGCAAGGAAAUAAUAUCCCACACACUUGGAACAUUGAUAGCUUACGAAAAUACUACCGAUAAUUGUACAUACUACCUUCGGCUUGCGGAAUUAUAAGCAACGCCGAAGGUAACAGAAUAGCUUUUUCCUUUUCUCUUCUUUACUUUCAAUUCUACCUCGCUUGUAAGGUCAUAGAGUCUGGACUGCACUCUUUUCCUUGCUAGGGGCUCCAUAAUGGAGGCAAGGUUUUUAACGAGGCAGAUCCAUGUACACCUUUUUUCACAAUGAAAGAAAGGAACUUUCCCCUAAAAAUCCAGAAUACAAAAAAGCAACAACAAGCUGCGUGACCUCGCGCCAGGGUGCGGAGGAGGUUUCGCGUGUAAAAAGCAACAACAAGUUGCGUGACCUCGCGCCAGGGUAUGGAGGAGGUUUCGCGUGUAAAAAGCAACAACAAGUUGCGUGACCUCGCGCCAGGGUGCGGAGGAGGUUUCACGUGUAAAAGGCAACAACAAGUUGCGUGACCUCGCGCCAGGGUGCGGAGGAGGUUUGGCGUGUAAAAUGCAACAACAAGUUGCGUGACCUCGCGCCAGGGUGCGGAGGAGGUUUCGCGUGUAAAAAGCAACAACAAGUUGCGUGACCUCGCGCGAGGGUGCGGAGGAGCUUUCACGUGUAAAAGGCAACAACAAGUUGCGUGACCUCGCGCCAGGGUGCGGAGGAGGUUUCGCGUGUAAAAAGCAACAACAAGUUGCAUGACCUCGCGCCAGGGUGCAGAGGAGCUUUCGCGUGUAAAAGGCAACAACAAGUUGCGUGACCUCGCGCUAGGGUGCGGAGGAGGUUUUGCGUGUAAAAGGCAACAACAAGUUGUGCGACCUCGCGCCAGAGCGCGGAGGAGUUCCAACGUGUAAACGCAAUGCCAUUACAGAUCAAAGAUACUGAAACCUCCGAUAGCGAGUCUCUAUUAUCUGAUUUCUCUCUUGCAACAUCGAGGGGGGGUGACAUUUUUCGAAAAAAUGCAAUUUUUUUUUGCAACUUUGCAAGAGAAGGGUUUGCAAGUUCGUGUCACCUGACCUCAUAAAGGCCUGAAUAACAUUCUCGAUCUCGCUCGGCAAACGGUCAAAAACGGCAGUGAACACAAUCAAAGUCAAAAAAGAAGCUCCGAUAAGGAGACUGAUUUCUUCACGAGUAUCGACUGGAUGGGCAGGUGCAUUUCCAAAAGCAAUACACCAGCCCGACCUCACACGAGGUCAACCCAUGCAAAAUACAGCAACAAAUACGACUGCGGUUGAAGCGACUUCGAGUUGCUAUAUCAACCGGCUUUCGCAUUUUCUAAGUCAGCGGGUUGCCUGACACGGCAACCCGACUUCAACUUAUCCAACCUCGCAGCAGGUCCACUUCGCCAGAAACUAGCAUGAUUGGACAGAAAAAGCACGCAACAGUUACAAAAGUUGGAUACAUAACAAAAAACUGGCACAUAAGUACUUUACAGGGCACAGUUUCACACACUAAUAAAGUAUCUGACUUCGUCAACUUUAUACACCAAAACCAAUAAGUCAAAACCUCCCCCUAGCAUGCACCAACCUACUCCGCAGCAUCCUUGUCCUCGUCAUCCACACCAGACUGCAAGUGCAGCUGCGCUAACCACUCACACGCAAGCCUCUUCACAUAAUCCUGCUCGGAGGUUGACCACAUGCGGUCAAACAAGUUUUUUUCGCAUUCUCCACAACCAUUAGACUUGAUAGCGGAGCCAAUCUCUGGGGCGGUCGGCAUAACAUAAUUAUCUUCAAAAAUAUUCCUAAUAUGCUCGCAUCCUUGUUGUUCUAGCAAGUGAAGGGCGCUUUCCAGACAGAACAUAGCUGAGUAGUCAUUCAAGCCCUCAAGGACCUCGGGGAGACUCUUAACCUCGUCUGAAAGCCACUCGAACAUACGUUCGCAUCCCCCAUCCAACGGGCAGUCAUCAGGUUCAGCACCAAACACACCAAGGGAGGCUUUGUAAGCUUCGUGAACUUUCUCAAACCUCUCCCUCAGUGUGGUCUCAAUCUGUCUCAACAGUUUUGCCUUCGUUUCCAACUCAGGCUCCAUCUGGCUAACCUAAGAUCCUAAAUCCGUGAUAACCUCGCUGUCGCGCUGAGCACCCUCACGUAGACCUUCAAUAAUUCGGUCCUUUUCCUUCAUCUGGCCCUCCAGCUGCAUCAUAUCCGCCACCAGGCGAUCAAUCUCGUCGCCCCUGGCCUCGUAGUUCUUGCCGAGUCUGCGAGAGUCCUCUUUCAGCUCAGCAUUCUCAGCCUUGACCUUCUUCCUCUCCAAGGACAUGGCAGCGAUAGUCACUUCCAGUGAAGCUACCUUCUUCGAAAGUUCCGAGGCUGCUUUCUCACUCUUAGCAAGCCGAUCCCUCGUAAUCAUCGAAGAAUAAGAGACCUACAGAUUUUAAAAAUAAACCAAGUCACCAAAAAAUAACAAAGUAAAGGACAACACUCGCAAGACACAUCAGCAAAUUAUCCCGUAAUCAUACCUUCUUUACGAGGUUGGCCUCCAAGUUAAAGAGCUCUUCCGAGCUCAUUGACUUCACAGCUUGCUGAAAAUCUGCGCGCCAAAGGAUAUAGUCGUAAGCUUAAAACAAAAAUUAAUAAAAGCUAAGGACAGCAAAGCCAUCUACAGGAUACUCUUACCCUCAUACUUUCGCGCCUCAACGGCGACCGAAACAACCUUCUCUCUAGCCUCACCCUUUGCCACUACUCAAAUCCACAAUCUUCCCACUACUCAAAUCCACAACCCCUCCUUUGCCUUUGCCCUCCCUCGAAGUCGCCACGCUCGCCUUCUCCACCCUUUUUGAACCGCCAACAUCUGCAUAGCACCCGCAACCUUCACCCUCAGCCCCCCAGACCAAAGACAGGUUGUGAGGAUUAUAAACCCUACCUUUGGCACAUGUAACUAGAAUCUCCAUGCACCCGCCUAAGCCCAGACACUCGUUCAGUCCUUGAAGCGCCGCCGGCAACCUCUCACCUACAUCAUAAUAUUUAACUUUCAGCCUCACAUGAUCCUCACAACUAACCUCACCAACGCCCCCCAUAGUUUCCUCCAAGUCCUUCAAAAAUCCCGCUGAGGCCUCACCACAAUCAAAGAACCGUAGCUUCGGUAGAAACACAUCUACAUGCUUACCAGAUCUCAGAGCUUCGGCACAUGCACCCUUUGGAUCAGAUGAGAACGCAUCCACAAGCUUCGCCUUUUCGGCGGUAACCUCUCUCUUAAGUUUCCCAACAUCAGUCAAGAGAGGUUGCGCACUAUCAACCUUCGAGCUUGUGGAAGGCGCCAUGAUCUUGGUACCAGCCGAUGAAGACGCGUCAACCUUGGCACCCGGGACGGUAACACGUGCAAAACGAGGUUUCUUUGCGCCCCUUUUGACCCGCGCGACGGGCCCGGUGGACGAAGGUGCAAGAGCCGGAACCUCCUUAGGAGGGCGCAUAGAGAUAGGGACAACAUAUGCCAGAUUGCUCAAGGCGCCAGUGUAACGACCUAGGUUAACUCAACCAAGUUUAAUCUUAAGACAAAUCCCCUAAUCCGGUUCACUCAGCCUUUCUUUAGCUAUACCGGCUAAGUCUGGUUUUCAGCCCAACCUAGCGCCUUAGGGAGGGUUUAUCUUUGGAAGGUUGAGCAAACCGUCAAGAAACCUCAUUAUAGAAGUUGGAGAACGAAGUCCUUGCCUUAACUUUGUUAAUUGGACCUUAAUCCAAUUCGCCUCGGAAGAUUCCUAAAUCUGCAGCUCAAAUCAGCCCCAACCCCUGAAACCCAGCAAACCGCCGUUUUCUCUAAGUCCCGAAACUAGUGUUCCUCCAAACAUUGGAGCCUUGGAUCUCCGAAUCCACUACGUUUUUGAACUCGGUCCAAUUACAAGAGUUGGGCCAUGGCCUGAGUACUACAACUCUCGUUAAGGGAGUCAAAUUGGUGCAGUUUGGAAAUCGGGAGAUCUAGAGGCUGGAAGAUGGGCUCGGCAAGGGAUCUCACGGAUCCAUCGGACAAAGAGCGCUAGAGCGCGCGUGCGCCCUGUUUCAGAGCGCCGCUGUCGUGUGGCGUGACCGCACCGACGAGCGCCGUCUCACCCAAUCACCGGCCGUGACAAGAUGGAUCAGCACGCCUCUUUCCCAAUCGCGCGCAGAAGCGCCCUGCAGACUUUCCACCCCGUCUCGUCUCGCCCGAGACCUCACUGGCCGCGCCAGGCGCACUGCCGCCGCUGCAACCGAAGAUUGGCCGCUGCCGCGCCAGUACCGCCUCGCCUCCCGCGCGCAUCACCUCACCCGGAUCCCCGGCUGCGCGCCCCAACGCCUUCCGGCCCUUCCAUCGCACCUUAGCCGCGCUGCCCACGCGCGUGCCCCGCGACGAUACCGUCUCCGCCAACCGCCGCGCAGGCAGUGACAACUCCUUUCCCCCGCCUCUCCAGUAGUGUGCCGAGGCAGAGCCGCUAGUUCGCGCCUGCUCACGUCGCUUCACUCGCCCUGUCAUCUCGCCUGCAGCACCCUUGCCUGCAGUGCCCUUCUCUCCCUCCUGUCUGCCAGUACCAAGCCGCCGCACCCACUCCGGCGCUUGACGCGACCAGGCACGCGCUCGACCUCGCCAAUCCUUCCACCCGGCAAAACCGCGCUUGCCUAGCCGACUCUUUUAUCUUGUUCUAAAUCAGCAGAAGCUUGGAAAUUUCAUCUUAAAUCGAGGAAAAAUUGAAAAAAUGGGAAAUCACUUGGGUUGGAAUCCUCUUUCUGAGUAGAAUCCAAUAAAGUGGGUUUCACACUUUUCUUGUAGUUUUGCUACAGUUUUUGGGCUAAAUCCUUGCAAGUGUUGUUGAAUUAACCGUCUAAGUGUUAAUCCCUUGCAUUGCAUUUCGUGUAGAGCUAAACCUCGCUGACGGCACGUACGAGCUGCGCCCGGUGCCAGAAGACGAAGUUGUAGCUGAGCUAUCUGCAGGAGCUGAGCCCGAAAGCGCCGAAAAUCAGUUCGCUUCCACCCCGCUCGAAGGCAAGCCCUGGAGCAUCACCCAAUCUUUCUAAACUUGCGCAUGCCUUCUUUUGUAUGUAUGUGCAUUUACGUUCAGGAGUUGUUUGGAACCAUAGAUGCAUUACUUAGUUCCCUUGGAUUUGAACACUAGUAUGAUAGGCCGAGUAGUUGCAGUGCUUAAACAUGACUCGGUAAAAGUCGAGUGAUUCCCUAUCACUUGCGAGUUAUAGGACUUGCUUGCUCUCCUGUUGUUACAACUAUAAGGACGUGGACGGGGCAGGGCUCUAUGAACUAUUUUGGUGGUCGGUGGGUUGCCCCAUCUGUCUACAUGAAAUUGGUUUAAGGUCGAAAAGUGUUGGUGUUCGUGAUCAAGUGUUUGAAAGUACUAAUCUCAUACCUAAUAUGGGAUGGGGAAGCCUAGUACCUGAUUGAACUAGGGCGUGGCUUAUACCCCUACUGUCCCUGGAAGAAGGUUCCCAUGGUGCAUCAUGUGGGUGCAAGUGCGGUCACAGUACAGCAAGAGGUCGGGACUGUGGAGAUUGCAUGCUAAGGGAAGUUUGGACCUGACGCGCGCUUGGGAAUUGAUGGGGACGGCUGACAAAUGAAGCGACCUUCAUGGUGCGCGGAUGUCGUGAGAUUAGGUUCGCCAUGCAUGGUUAAGAAAUUCGAAUCAAUUUGUCUGCCUCUUAGAGUUUGGGACUGCUUGAUCGCUAUGCUACACUGAGUAAGAAUGGAACUCGAUGAUGAUGUAACAGGUUUCUUGUAAUAAUUUGCUUGGGAACUUUUGCAUGUUGAGCAUAGAUGCUAACCUAGAAUGGUAAACAAAAAUAGAACCUGUGAUUGAAAGUAAGGACCUACUGUAGUCGCUUUUGGCAAAACAAACCCCUCAGCCAACAAGCCUCGCAUGUCUAGAAGUUGGUGGAGUAGUUCCCACUGGUCGGUUAAGUUGUGUUGAGCUUAGUUGCUCAGCCUUGCUUGUGGCACAUCUUUCAGGUGAUGUUGAAGCUCCUGAGUUUGCUACUGUUGGCAUUUAGCCUCCCCAGCUCCUGCCUGGGUGGACGGUCGAGUGGGAUCCCGCCUCGGACGGCGAGGAUAGGGAUCAGUGAUGUCAUGAUCGGCCUCGUUAGUAACAUCCGACCCCGGCGCUAGCUUUCGACUGGUUUAUCUUUUCCGCUGCUUAAGAACUCUGUAAAACAUUGAUUUCCGAACCAGUGUUGUAAGAAAUUAAUGUACUUGUUUAACUUGGAUGAUCUAUUGUAUUCUCUGGAACCACUCACCUUCGUGUGAGCUAUGCUAUCUCGGUCCUGUAUGGUGGUUUUAUCGGAUGAAAUCCGACGAACUGCCGAGUUAACUUGAUUAAAGCAUAUGAUCGCGUGUCAGGCGACUUAUUUGUGCUUUAGCUAAGUUAAUCCGAGCAGUUCCACCACAGCUGGUACUAGAGCAGGUUAGCAGGACAGAGAAGACAAUAGAUCCUCAAUACCUUUUGGAAAUAAAAUUUGCCAGAAAUAUGUUUGAAAAAUCUCGUACGAUCGUUAAGGAUGACCUUAGUGCGAGAGGCCCUAGGGGAAUUUUGGGGUUAUUUCCGGUGGCUACUACCUAUUGGUUAUUUUGCUAACUUCUAGCACUUCGCCACGUGUAUCAUACGUGCGCCGAGUUCCGCAUCACGAAUAUGCGAGGGUUGAUAGGGAGUUCUAUUCAAAAGAACCUAUCAUCGUGGUUGUUUUCACCCACGUCUAUUACACGUGCGCAGGUUCCGUGUGUUAACUCAUGCGAAGGAUAGUAUGGUUCGAUUCCAACAGGCCUAUCAUCACGGUUGUUCGCCCACGUUUAUGAUACGUGCGCAUGAUUCUGCAUCACGAGUAUGCGAAGGGUUAUAUGGUCCUAUUCAAAGGGGACCUAUUUCCACGGUUGUUGCGCUGUCCAUGCAGCGUUAAACGCAUGGGUGCCAUUUCUAUAGCAAACGGUAAUGAAUGGGGACGCUUUCGUGAGUGCUGGCACGGAAGGUUCAGGUGGUUGUGUUUUUCUGCAGGUACGCUAACCGCGCUCGCGUAAGAGAACGAUAUUAGAAACCCGACUAGUUACUAUAGGGAGUGACAUAAUUGUUGCCUCGCCACCAGCACUAACCACGAAAGUCCAAAACUUUUGGCAGUUAUUUUGGUUGAGAGAACGAGGUAGGUCGUGCAUGCAUCAUGGACUAAAACGUGUAAAUCUAAAUCCUUGAAACAACCUUGCCCUGGUAUUCAGCUCUUCCUCGCUUUAAGGAUUUCUAGCUACCUUUUUAGCAUGUGCUCUAGUCCAAAAAUCCGAGUGUUUCACCCUGUCCGAUCUAUUUUCACUCCACUUCUAACACCAAACUUGUUGCCAACUAUCAGGAGAGGAUGUUGGUAGUAAAUUGGAAGUUUUGGAUGAAUCCUUGAUGAGUUGGAGCUUUUCUCUAAGCCUCCCAGAAUCUGUUUCUCUUUUGGGGUAUCAAUCUCACACUUCUUUUCGGUUCUUGGUUCCAGAUGGCUGCGCUCGGGCAUGUGUUUCGUGGUGCCGAUGGCACCUCCCACUCCACAUGCCUACACUUCGAGGGUUUUCCUGCUAUUUUGUGGGACACCUUGAGGUGGUUUGGGUACCAGUUGCCGCCUCUUUACGCGGGACGUGAGUACCAAGAGCACGGAGUGCAGCGGUGCAAUGUGCAAGUGGUUGUACCCCCUCCCCUUGUGCAGCCCGAGUGGGCCCAACGUGAGGUCUCGACCUAUGGUCAUACCCUUGAGGAUACUUGGGAAUCCACUGCCUUGCAAGCUCUCACUCAGUUUUGCCGACUACACCCGUUCGAGGUCCUUUUGGACCCGAUUGGCUUGUUCCCCGCCAGGGAUCGGAUGGACGAAGCUUGGCUUGACUGAAUAAAUAACAUGGAGGUGUUGGCAGCCUCACACCCGUUGGUCACCGUUUCCACCGCGACACGGUGCAUGACCGCUUUGUACCGACUGGUUGAACUUUAGGGAAGAGCUAUGGCUGUCUUGGCAUCGAUAGCUGUAGACACCCAGAAGCAUCUCAACACCACCAAGAGAGAUUUGGUGGAACAAUCAUAUCCGCUUAUCCAGAGGGGCAUACAGGUUUCCGAUAUGCAAACCCGGAUUACUGAACUAGAGGAAAGGGCGACUGACAUGGAGCAGGAUAUGAUGCAGCUUGCUGAAGAAAAACUGGAGGUUGAGAUGGAGCUCGCUGUCGCUAAUGCGCACAUAGCCGAGCACCAUGCUGAACUCGAUGCUAUCCACGCCCUAGAGAUGCAGCUGGAUGAGCCUAUGGGUCAGGAGGAGGAGGAGGAGGAGGAAGACCCUGAAGAGGUAGAGGGAGUCUCGAGCAUGGACAUUGAAGUUGGUGACGCCCCUUCUCCGACGCACAGUGUUUCCUCCAUAGGCAAAUUAGAUAACUUUUAGAUUGAGGCUGUAGUAAGUUGGUCUUUUGUGUACUCCUCGGCAACCUAUAAGUUUGAAUGGUGAUGUAAUAGAUUAGCCUUGAAUUGAGUACUUCUCCUGUGUUAAGAAACCGGUAAUGAAAUGAUCUUGGUGAAAUCAGUUCCUAUUUCCACCUCGCUCUUGACUCCACUUCUGUCAAUUUUGGGACGCACUUUGAAUAUCAAAGUUGUAUGAAAACUUGUGCUAUAGCCGCUCGUACAGUUUCAGCUCUUUGGAUCUGUCAAAAAAAAAAAAUCGGCCGCCCCGGCAUCGGUGACCUCCGCCGAUUUGGCCCGACCCCUCGCGGUAGGUCUCUGCCUCGCCCGACCUGGGCUAAGGGUCGGACAUAUCCGGACCCCCGGCGCAGAGCUUCGCCUCGCCUAAGGACGCGCGUGGACUAGCCGACGAGAACACGGAUCUUGUGGGCCCUACCGAACUUAGAUUACCAUAUCCUUCCGUUCGGUAAGCAAGGGUAAACCGAAAGCGGCUGGGUAAAGAAAACGAGCAAAUUGCUAGCUAAGGUGGCAAGAAGAGACAUGCACCUACUCAAUAAAAGAUAUGUUUGUUGUGUUUGCACUAUCGGCAAGAGUAGCAUUUAAGGAUUCAGCACAUAAGUUCCCUCAUGAUUGGAAAGCUUUUGGGAUUAUGUGACUAAUGGAAAGCUGACUCUUGCAGAUGGCGCACCGCACCUGCUCCGGCUCUGUUCCCAGUGGCAGUGAGCAGAGGCGAUCUUGGGCGCUCAAACUGAGCUGCUGAGACACAUUGCCCAAGGGCAGCAGCAGCAGCCCCAGGGAGGAAGGGCUCAUCAGCAACCUCAUGUUGCUCGUUAUGAGGACUUCCUAGGAACACAGCCUCCUCUGUUCCAAAAGACACAGGACCUGCUCGACGCCGAUGCCUGGAUUCAUGCCAUUGAGUCCAAGUUCUCCCUCCUCACCGCCCAUUGCUCGGAUGAGAACAAGGCUCGGUUCGCCAUGCGGCAACUGCGUGGUUCUGCCCUCCUAUGGUGGGACCACUAUCAUGCCAUGCUGCCGGGCGACCACGUCGUCAGCUAGGAUGAGUUCAAGAUGGCGUUCAGGGGCCAUCACAUCCUGGAGGGUCUCCUGGAGUGCAAGCUCAACGCGUUCCUGGCUCUUACCCAGGGAAGCUGUGAUGUUGUGCACUAUGCGCAAGCUUUCAAUGAUCUGUGCCGCUAUGCUGGAUACCAUGCGGAUACGGAUGAGAAGAAGCGGGACAGGUUCUGUAGGGGAUUGAGCCUGGAGCUUAGAGAGAGGUUGAACCCGAUAAAGGUGAAUACAUACAAUGAGCUGGUCAACUUGGCCAUCUCACAAGAGGAUUGCAUGAAGGCUCUUGCAACCAAGAGAAAGAGGAAGGCUCCAAUGCCGGCCCCCAGCCCACCUGCACAGAGAUACAGGAUGGCUCCCCCACAGGUACCCAGCCGACCACAGCAGUCGGGAAGAUGGGUUGCCCGACCCCCACCAUCGGCAGCGCUUCGUUUCCCGGGAUUUCAACAGUAGGCACCGCGGCCAACUCUACCACCGUCGCCCCACCCUACCAAUGGAAACCGCUGCUACACUUGUGGUCUUAUGGGACACUUUGCCAAAGACUGCCCCCGCAACCAGAAUCAGCACCCAAGUCAGAACAAUGCGAUGAUCAACAAGGGGAAGAAGCCCAAAGUGCAGUUUCGUCAGGGUCGGCUGAACUUCACCAACGCAGCAGAACUCUCCGAAGGUGCAGCAGUGAUGAUCGGUACCUUAUCCACAGUUACUCAGUUUUGAUUUUGUUUGACUCUGGAGCAUCCCAUAGUUUUAUUGGAAGGAAAACUAGUGACAAAAAUGGAUUAAAAGAGUGCCAAACCAAAGGGUCUUUUAUGAUAUCUACCCCAGGUGGGAAAAUCACAUCGGAUAAGAUGAAUGUCGAUGUGCCUAUUAAGCUAGGCAAAACCCUCUUUAAGGAAAAUCUCAUUAUCCUUGGUCUAGAGGGGAUAGAUAUUAUCUUGGGUAUGGAUUGGAUGACUCGGCACCGAGUGAUACUAGACAUCCCUGCCAGAGUCGUCCAUAUAAAUUCACCCACCUAUGGUAGCUCAAUCAUAUACUUACCCCACCGCGAGUGCAAACAUUCUUGUGCCCAUCAUGUAACUGAAGCUCGGUUGGAGGACAUCCCUGUAGUCUGUGAGUACCCUGAUGUGUUUCUGGAUGACUUGCCGGGCAUGCCGCCUGACAGAGAUGUGGAGUUUUCUAUAGAGUUGAUCCCCGGCACAGCUCCCAUUUCCAAGAGGCCUUAUAGAAUGCCAUCGGCAGAGCUAGCUGAGUUAAAAACCCAGUUACAUGAGUUGUUGGAGAAAGGUUUCAUUUGCCCAAGUACAUCACCUUGGGGUUGCCCCGCUUUGUUUGUGAAGAAGAAGGAUGAGAGUCUACGCAUGUGUGUGGACUACCGACCCCUCAAUGCGGUGAAUAUCAAGAACAAGUAUCCCCUUCCCCGCAUUGAUGUUCUGUUUGAUCAGUUAGCUGGAGCUAGAGUGUUUUCCAAGAUUGAUCUUCGCUCCGGUUAUCAUCAGAUCAAGAUCGGACCGUGUGAUGUCCCAAAAAUUGCCUUCUCCACAUGGAUGGACUCUAUGAGUACCUAGUUAUGUCGUUUGGGCUUACGAACGCACCUGCUUAUUUCAUGUAUCUCAUGAAUUCGGUGUUCAUGCCCAAACUUGACAAAUUCGCCAUGGUAUUCAUUGACGACAUCUUGGUGUACUCGAAGAACAAGGAAGAACAUGCCGAGCAUCUUCAUGUGGUUCUUCAACACCUAAGAGAUCACAAACUCUAUGCCAAGUUCUCCAAGUGUGACUUCUGGCUGGAAAGUGUUAAAUUCUUGGGGCACACCAUAUCCAACGACGGCAUAGCAGUAGACCCAAGUAAGGUUCAAGAGGUCAUGGACUGGAAGCCACCCACUUCAGUUCAUCAAAUCAGAAGUUUUCUCGGUUUAGCAGGCUAUACCGUCGAUUUAUCCCCAACUUCUCGAAGAUAGCUAAGCCAAUGACUGAACUGCUAAAGAAAGGAGUUAAGUUUGUGUGGAGCGACAAGUGUGAAGAAGCUUUCCACACCUUAAAACAAUUGUUAACUUCUGCCCCAAUUUUAGCGCAGCCUGACUCUUCUAGGCCGUUUGACGUGUACUGUGACGCCUCGGGCACUGGACUUGGAUGUGUUCUUAUGCAAGACAACCGAGUCAUUGCCUAUGCCUCACGCGUGUUAUGGCCUCAUGAACUGAACUACCCUGCACAUGAUCUAGAACUAGCAGCAGUGAUUCAUUCCUUAAAAUUAUGGAGACACUAUCUGAUGGGCACCCACUGCAAUAUCUACACCGAUCACAAGAGCCUCAAGUACAUUUUUACCCAAGUCGACCUUAAUAUGCGGCAAAGAAGAUGGUUAGAACUGAUCAAGGAUUAUGAUUUGGAAGUGCAUUAUCACCCCGGCAAAGCCAACGUAGUAGCAGAUGCUCUUAGCCGCAAGACCCAUUGCAAUUGCUUGUCGGCAACCAACUUCACAGAAAUUCUAUGUCAUGAGAUGGGAAAACUCAGUUUGGAAAUCAUUUCCCAUGGCAUCCUCAGUCAUGUUUCUAUUGAAUCUGCCUUGAAAGGCCAAAUUGGGUCGGCACAGUUAAAAGAUGAGGAAUUAAAGCUAAUUAAGAGAAGAAUUGCACAGAAGGAUGAAGAGUACAAGCAUUUUUGACAGGAUGAAAAUGGGAGAGUGUACUAUGAGAACCGACUUGUUGUCCCAUCCAACCCCGAUCUUAAGAAGCAAAUCCUAGAUAAAGCACAUCUCUCCAAAUUCUCAAUUCAUCCUGGCAGCAAUAAGAUGUAUCAUGACCUCUGCCAAACUUUUUGGUGGAGUGGAAUGAAACCAGAAAUUGCGCGCUAUGUCUCUGAGCGCGACACGUGUCAACGUGUCAAGGCAAGCCAUUUGAAGGUAGCAGGUACCUUGCAACCGCUACCUAUUCCGUCAUGGAAAUGGGAAGACAUUAGCAUGGAUUUCAUUGUUGGAUUGCCCCCUACCUCUCAGCGACAUGAUUCCAUUUGGGUUAUUGUGGACCGCCUCACCAAGUCUGCACACUUUCUUCCUGUUCACACCACCUACACGACCAAGAAGUAUGCGGAGUUGUACCUCGACCGUAUUGUUUCCCUGCACGGUGUACCAAGGACGAUCAUAUCUAAUCGAGGUGUUCAGUUUGUAGCAUGUUUUUGGGAACAGUUACAAACUUCACUUGGCACCAAGCUAAUCCGUAGCUCAACAUAUCACCGUCAGAUAGAUGGCCAGACAGAGAGAGUGAAUCAAAUCCUAGAAGAUAUGCUACGAGCUUAUGUCAUCCAUUAUGACAAGAAUUGGGAUAAAUGCUUACCGUUGGUAGAGUUCUCUUACAACAACAGCUACCAGGCUAGCUUGAAGAUGGCACCAUUUGAAGCCUUAUAUGGUCGGAGGUGUCGGACACCCUUAAAUUGGUCACAAGUUAGGGAAAGGCAAACAUAUGGUCCUGAUCUAGUAGUAGAGGCCGAAGAGCAAGUUAAGGCAGCCCAAUCUCGACAGAAGAGCUAGUCCGACAAGAGGAGGAGACCCCUGCAGUUUGACAUUGGAGAUCAUGUAUACCUUCGAGUCUCCCUGACCAAAGGAUUACAACAGUUUGGAGUGAAGGGGAAAUUAGCUCCCCGUUACAUUGGCCCUUAUGAGAUUGUGGAAAUCUGCGGACCCGUUGCUUACCGGAUCCAAUUACCCGAACAGCUCUCAGCCAUUCACAAUGUCUUCCAUGUCUCUCAACUGAAGAAGUGUGUCCGAGUCCCGACUGAAAUCUUGGAGCUGGAACUACUUGAAGUAGAGCCCGACUUGUCCUAUGCCGAAUAUCCUGCCAAAGUCCUCGACCGUAAGGAGAGGUACACCCGACGACAAGUUGUGAAAAUGUACAAGACUCUGUGGAGUAACCACACGGAAGAUGAAGCAACAUGGGAAAUAGAGGAAUAUCUGAAUAAGCACUUCAGAGGCUUUCUUUUCAGCCAAGGAGGUAAGACCCGCCCAUCCCACUAAUUGUUCUUACACCCGAAUCUCGGGACGAGAUUCUUUUUAAGGGGGGUAGGCUGUAACAACCUAGGUUAACUCAGCCGAGUUUAAUCCUAAGACAAAUCCCCUAAUCCAGUUGACUCAGCCUUUCUUGAGCUAUACCGGCUAAGUCUGGUUUUCAGCCCAACCUAGCGCCUUAGGGAGGGUUUAUCUUUGGAAGGUUGAGCAGACCGUCAAGAAACCUCUUUAUAGAAGUUGGAGAACGAAGUCCCAGCCUUAACUUUGUUAAUUGGACCUUAAUCCAAUUCACCUCCGAAGAUUCCAAAAUCUGCAGCUCAAAUCAGCCCCGACCCCUGAAACCCAGCAAACCGCCGUUUUCUCUAAGUCCCGAAAUCAGUGUUCCUCCAAACUUUGGAGCCUUGGAUCUCUGAAUCCACUGCAUUUUUGAACUUGGUCCAAUUACAAGAGUUGGGCCUUGGCCUGAGUACUACAACUCUCGUUAAGGGAGAUCUAGAGGCUUUUAGAUGGGCCAGGCAAGGGAUCUCACGCAUCCAUCGGACAAAGAGCGCUAGAGCGCGCGUGCGCCCUGUUUCAGAGCGCCGUCGCUGCAUGGUGUGACCACACCAACGAGCGCCGCCUCACCCAGUCGCCGGCCGCGACAAGAUGGAUCAGCGCGCCUCUUUCCCAAUCGCGCUCAGAAGCGCCCUGCAGACUUUCUGCCCCAUCUCGUCUCGCCCAAGACCUCGCUGGCCGCGCCGGGCGCAUUGCCGCCGCUGCGACCAAAGAUUGGCCACUGCCACACCAGUACCGCCUCGCCUCCCGCGCGCAUUGCCUCACCUGGACCCCUGGCCGCGCGCCCCAACGCCUUCCGGCCCUUCCGUCGCACCUCAGCCGCACUGCCCACGCGUGCGCCGCGCGAUGAUACCGUCUCCGCCAACCGCUGCGCAGGCAGUGACAACUCCUUUCCCCUACCUCUCAAGUAGUGUGCCAUGGCAGAGCCGCUAGUCCGCGCAUGCUCGCGUGGCUUCGCUCGCCCUGUCAUCUUGCCUACAGCGUCCUCACCUGCAGUGCCCUUCUCUCCCUCCUAUCCACCAGUACCGAGCCGCCGCACCCACUCCGGUGCUUGACACGACUAGGCACGCACUCGACCUCGCCAAUCCUUCCGCCCGGCAAAACCGCACUUGCCUAGCGCUGUCUUCCUUGCCCAAUGCCGUAGGAUCCUUUCCUCGGAGCUCCGCUUCGCCGGCCAAUGGAGACGCCGACCAAUUGCCGUCGAGGUAGAGCACUCCUUUCUCUCUCGAUCUUAUCCUAGCGCCGCUCGAGCUCGUUCACUUCCGCGCCGCUAUAAAGAGGGUACCGCAGCCCUUACCGGAGUUCCCCUUCCACCCAACGCCGUGCCUUGCCAACCCACCAGCCGCUUCGCCAUCCUCUCGCGCGGCUCUAAAGCUUGCUUGUUGUCCACGAGAAGCACCUUUGCCAUCAGAACACCGCCGGACCUCGCCGCCGCCCAAAGCCUAACGCCUUUCGUUGUUUCGCCUGAGCUUGCUUCUUUCCGACCCCAAGACCUCGCCCGUAAGACUGGAGGUAAAACUCCCAACCCCUAUCCGUCUCGCCCGACCCUAUCUAUUUCGCCCGACCCGUAUCCGUCUCGCCCGACCCUAUCUGUUUCGCCCGACCCCUGUCCGCCUCGCCCGAGGGCUCGGUUGUGUCUUUUUCUUUUGACCAAGGGUAUCUGUGUAAAAUUUCAGGUACUUCUCUGUGUUAAAUCUGAGGACCCCGGUAAGUUAUUCCUUAGGUCUAAGGGUCAGAUCGUAAGUUUUUCCCGAUCUGACUCUUUUAUCUUGUUCUAAAUCAGCAGAAGCUUGGAAAUUUCAUCUUAAAUUAAGGAAAAAUCGGAAAAAUGGGAAAUCACUUGGGUUGGAAUCCUCUUUCUGAGUAGAAUCCAAUAAAGUGGGUUUCACACUUUUUCUGUAGUUUUGCUACAGUUUUUGGGCUAAAUCCUUGCAAGUGUUGUUGAAAUAACCGUCUAAGUGUUGAUCCCUUGCAUUGCAUUUCGUGUUGAGCUAAACCUCGUCGACGGCACGUACGAGCUGCGCCCGGUGCCAGAAGACAAAGUUGUAGCUGAGCUGUCUGCAGGAGCUGAGCCCGAAAGCGCCGAAAAUCAGUUCGCUUCCACCCCACUCGAAGGCAAGCCCCGGAGCAUCACCCAAUCUUUCUAAACUUGCGCAUGCCUUCUUUUGUAUUUAUGUGCAUUUAUGUUCAAGAGUUGUUUGGAACCAUAGAUGCAUGACUUAGUUCCCUUGGAUUUGAACACUAGUAUGAUAGGCCGAGUAGUUGCAGUGCUUAAACAGGACUCGGUAAAAGUCGAGUGAUUCCCUAUCACUCGCGAGUUAUAGGAGUUGCUUGCUCUCCUGUUGUUACAACUAUAAGGACGAUGGACGGGGCAGGGCUCUGUGAACUAUUUUGGUGGUUGGUGGGUUGCCCCAUCUGUCUACAUGAAAUUGGUUUAAGGUCCGAAAGUGUUGGUGUUCGUGAUCAAGUGUUUGAAAGUACUAAUCUCAUACCUAGUAUGGGAUGGGGAAGCCUAGUACCUGAUUGAACUAGGGCAUGGCUUAUACCCCUGCUGUCUCUGGAACAAGGUUCCCAUGGUGCAUCAUGUGGGUGCAAGUGCGGUCACAGUACGGCAAGAGGUCGGGACUGUGGAGCAUUGCAUGCCAAGGUAAGUUUGGACCUGACGCGCUCCUGGGAAUUGAUGGGGACGGCUGACAAAUGAAGUGACCUUCAUGGUGCACGGAUGUCGUGAGAUUAGGUUUGCCAUGCAUGGUUAAGAAAUUCGAAUCGAUUUGUCUGCCUCUCACAGUUUGGGACUGCUUGAUCGCUAUGCUACACUGAGUAAGAAUGGAACUAGAUGAUAAUGUAACAGGUUUCUUGUAAUAAUUUGCUUGGGAACUUUUGCUUGUUGAGCAUAGCUGCUAACCUAGAAUGGUAAACAAAAAUAGAACCUCUGGCUAAAACAUUGAAAGUAAGGAUCUACUGUAGUCGCUUUUGGCAAAACAAACCCCUCAGCCAACAAGCCUCGCAUGUCUAGAAGUUGGUGGAGUAGUUCCCACCGGUUGGUUAAGUCUUAGUUGAGCUUAGUUGCUCAGCCUUGCUUGUGUCACAUCUUUCAGGUGAUGUUGAAGCUCCUGAGUUUGCUGCUGUUGGCACUUGGCCUCCCUAGCUCCCGCUUGGGUGGACGGUCGAGUGGGAUCCCUCCUCGGACGGCGAGGAUAGGGAUAAGUGAUGUGAUGAUCGGCCUCAUCAGUGACAUCGGACCCCGGCACUAGCUUCCGACUGGUUUAUCUUUUCCGCUGCUUAAGAACUCUGUUAAACUUUGAUUUCUGAACCAGUGUUGUAAGAAACUAAUGUACUUGUUUAACUUGGAUGAUCUAUUGUAUUCUCUGGAACCACUCACCUUCGUGUGAGCUAUGCUAUCUCGGUCCUGUAUGGUGGUUUUAUCGGAUGAAAUCCGUCGAACUGCCAAGUUAACUUGAUUAAAGCAUAUGAUCGCGUGUCAGGCGACUUAUUUGUGCCUUAGCUAAGUUAAUCCGAGCGGUUUCGCCACAGCCAGACAAAGCUAUCGACCCGAUGGCAACGCAGCAGACGAAGCCCCUGCGGUCAGUUCCUUCCUUUUUUGCGCCUCCAAAUUCAGAGUCUUUUGCUUCGCCUUAGCGGGCACUUGAGAUGCAAUAGUGAGCUUCGCCACGGGUACGAAGUCAAGUUUUGCCUUUUUCCUCUGCUCAAGACUAGCACCGCGACGGCGCCUUUUGUCUGUAACUUUGGGGCGAGGCAGAACCACAAUGUCACACAAAUCAAAGAUUCGAUUGACUCGACGCCCAUGUCCCAUGGCGGCUUCCAAAGAACGCUUUUUCGGUUGGGUCAUGGGACCCAAAAUCUCGUGAACUAUGUCCUCCACUGUCCGAACAAACGAAUCUGAAUCUGCUUCCCUCUCAGCACGGGUUUCAAAGCAGGGGUAGUGCACCGGUUUCUCGCUCCAAGACACCUUCUUCUCAACAAGCUUAAACGGCCUCACAAAUUCAGCGGACAGAGGCCACACUCUAGCUGCAACAUACUCCUCUACGAGGUCACGUCCAGAUAUCAAGGGCCUAGCAGCCUUGUAAGCAGCCUCGCACCUUGUCACAGCCGCCGUAUGAAUAAAAGACGGAGUUGUAAGCACAUCCAACGGCCCAAAUGGUGCAUAAAAUGGGAAUCCAGUCCCAAUCCCCUGCAUCUCAAAUCUAACAUAAAACCAAUGCGUUAGCCAAGCAUCAUCCCACUUGUUUCUCUGCGCGAAGGUAAGCUCUAUCCUUGGCAGGUUUCUCUUAUCAUUUUUCCUGCGUGGCAUGAAGGUGCAACACCCGAAAUGAUUCUUGCAAACCCCUUUUCCAUCCUCGGAGUAAACCCUCUUCUUCUAGAUAUGAAGUUCAUGCAGCCUCGCAAAGCCCUCCACAUCAAUGCUACCACCGAAAGUGCGCUGCACCUAGUAAAACUUAGACAAAUUCACGAUGGCAUUAGGGGUCAGCUGGUGCAACCUAACUCGGUAGCGAUCCAAAAUUACUGGCAGCUGCCUGUCACAGGGAAACUAAAGCCCCGCAGUAAACAAGUCCCUGAAAACAAUGGCCUCACCAACUUUGGGCGCAGGUACCACCUCGUUCCCAGGUGCUCUGCCCACCCCCUUAGGAAAGAAAUUAUUUUCCUCAAACGACGUGAUGUCUUGUGGAGUCACUUGAGAGCACCCGAAGUAAAGAGUGGGAAUACACUGAACUUUUCCCCCAGCAAGAUCGGCUGCCCCUGACCUCGCCCCAACCUUGGCAUCCUCCUCCUCGGCUUCGUCAGCCUCCUCCUCAGCUUCGCCAGCCUCUUUCCCCCCUUCCUCCUCCUCUUCUGCCUCCUCACCCGAAGAUACAAUAUGAAUCUCCGUCUCACUCGUCCCAGCCGCUCCUGCUACGUCCUUCACGGCACAGCCUUGCCCAUCUUUACCUUCGUCUUCAUCAGAAGACCACUCAGACGAGCUACUACCGGAAGAACCUUCCCUCGCAGAGACCAAACCAUCCUUUGUAUAAAUCCGUUUCUUUGACCUCUUCCCAUCAACCUCUCCACUACUUGCAGACACCGAUUGCGAUGCAUGACUACCUUCACCACCAGAGGCAGCCUGAAUGGCCAGCUCUUCUGAAGACAUGAUUUGCGCAGUCUGCCUGAUGCGGACCACCUGUCGCACAAAGAAUAGAAAAACAUAACAUUAAGAAUGAAGCCAAAACGUUAAAAGAAAUCAAAGAAAACAACCACGAUCAAACAAGCCGAAGUUACCCUCACCACGAAAAGUGAAGAUGCCGUAACCCAAACACUUCCUGCCAAGAAGGCGCGUAGCGAAGGCGCAAGCAACAAAAACCUACAGCUUGAAAACGACAGCGUACAAUAUGACCCGGCCCCCGGUAAACCUUAUAUAGGCACGGUAAAAAAAGCCAAAAGACGCCUUUACGGUGCCUCGAAUCACCAACCGUCGCAUGGCAAAGGACGUUAGUACCCCUGCCUAACGGUAAACACCUCAGUCCGCGCCACCGUUUAGGGUGACGUUUUGAGGGCGUUUUUCGACUUUUCGCGGGAUCGGUCGACGGCGUUUCUGACCUCGCCCACGAAGGGGCUACUGUUGGGGACCGCUCCAUAACGCACCCUGAACAAAGCCGGCACGGAGCUCUCCCCGACACCAACACUGACUUCGUGAUUAUACUCUUCCACGAAGCUAAUAAUUAACCGAAGUUAACUGGUCCAAAGAUGUUCGUUCUGUGAUUUUGUAGGCGAAGAUUCCCAAAGUUGAAACCCCCACGGAACUCCCAGCGACUUGACUUCGAAGAGAUGCCACGACCAGAGCCCGAGGUUAGCUGGUCUCGACCAACGAAGGUGGAGUGCGCGUGGAGGCGUACUUGGUGCGGGCGAAGCUAACGAGUAGGGAAAGGAGAAAUCAGGAUAGUCCUGGAAUCACAUCGUUGUGGAGCACUUUGGUAAUAAAGAUUUUGGGAAGGGUUAGAAAUGUAAUCUCACUUUGAAAGCGACAUCUUGGGUAAGGGUCAAGUUACUGUCUUGUACGGGAUAUGCCUGGGAUGUAGUUGUUGAGUAUGGGUAUAACGGGUAUACGGAAAUGUAACUUUAUAGCACUAUAAAAGGAGGUGAACCGUCCCCUCUUAAACGGACAUUAUUCAUUGAUAGGACAGCCACUGUUACAUUCGCUUGAGAUAUCUUUGCCUUCGUGUUGCUACUUCGUCUUACCUAUUGUUUGGUUAAGGCCCAACAUAUAUUGUUGAUAUUUUCAUAUUUUUAUACAUAAUGUCUAGAGAUACAGUUAGUUCAAUCUCACAUUUUUCGAGUAUAAAAAUUAACAUAAAGAGACAGGAAGCAAGAGACAGGAAGGAAGAGACGUGAGGGGGGAAGUGAAAUUAGGGCCUAAGGGGUGAAGUUAGGGUUCCAGUGAGCUGUCAUCACUACGUGUUUUUAAUCGAAAUUGGAAUGGCAGCAAUCGUCAGAUCUUGAGCCAACAGUUGAGAUUGCCUCGGAAUGGUAAUUAGGUCUGCAUGCGCGAGCUUGUGGCCAUGCUUGAAAACUUGGACAUAGGUGUUAUAUUAUUAAGUUCUUGCUUGCCUGCACACAGUAGCCAUCACAAACGUCCAUAUUAAGACUUUUUGAUAGCAGAAAAAACAUGAAAUGUCUAAUAUUUGUAGUAUUACAAAGAAAAAAAAUAAUAUAUUCACCUGACCUUUUUCCGUAGCAACGCACCGGGGUGCGUAGUCAGACUUAAGGGGGUGUUUGGAUACUAGGUGCUAAAGUUUAGCAGUGUCACAUCGGAUGUUCGGAUGCUAAUUACGAGGACUAAACAUGAGCUAAUUAUAAAACUAAUUGCAGAACCCCUAGGAUAAUUCGCGAGACAAAUUUAUUAAGCCUAAUUAAUCCAUAAUUAGCAAAUGGUUACUGUAGUACCACAUUGUCAAAUCAUGGACUAAUUAGGCUUAAUAGAUUCGUCUCACGAAUUAGACUCCAUCUGUGCAAUUAGUUUUGUAAUUAGCCUAUGUUUAAUACUCCUAAUUAGUAUCAAACAUCCGACGUGACAAGUGCUAAACUUUAGCAGGUGAUAUCCAAACACCCGCACGAUGCCUGAGCAUCCACUGGGCCAGCCCUCGUGGAUCACGCGCACCAGGACACGGCUGACAAGCUAUGAUGUGCAGCAGUGGCUCUGAUGCAAAAGUACACUUAAUUGGAAUGGUACCAUAUAUAGUAGAACAGUACUAUGAGGCGGCGAAUACUAUGAAUGUAACACAAAUCUAUCCGUCCGACCAAAGGGGAGGCAGCAAGUUGUAUUGCAUCUGCUCACGGACUGGCACUGUACAUCCCGUCAUAGACGAACGUAUGUACAACACUAUUUUUGGGUCUUGCAUUGCGCGUGGUGAAUGUAUAGGCCCUCAAAAAGAUUCCUGCCUCAUCAUCGGUUGCCAUUGGACAUGAUGGCCCAGUAAUUCAGAAGCGAGCAGUGGAGAUAGCUCAAACAAAGACAGCUGCCUCGGAAAUUGAGCUGAGCAACCUAGACAAGCUUAUGAUGCGCCACUCAGAUGCCUGAACAUAAAAAAGGACACUAGGAAAUUGUAAAAGAAUAACUGACGUGUACUUGACCGUUUGCAACUUUUUGGUCAAUGACAAAUAGGAAUUUUUGUAACAUCAAUCUAUCUGUCGGAUCGAGGGGAGGCGCAUCAUGUUCAUUGCAUGAUGGAACUCAAGAGUGCCACCACUACUUAAAAAACGCUUUUAGCACCAGGUAAAAUUGCAUUUAUAAGGGCGCAGGCCAAAUCUGGCCAUACUUUUCACAGCUAAAAAAAGACAUGCAGGGGAGGGUCUCAAUCCGACCCUGCAAAUGCAUUUGCAGGGGACACCAUAACCCAUCCUGCAAAUGGAAAGGCGGGAUGCCUCGUCACCCUGCACUAAAAACUGAUUAAAAACUAAAAAAGCUGGGGCACAAUAUCCACCAGUGCUGCCGGCCCACGCACAGCGCACGCACCGGCCAAACGCCGCCGAGGAGAGGCCUCACGCCGAAUGCCGAGCUGCAGCCGGGCGUUGUACGUGCCAGCCACCAGCACCACCUCCCCACACAUGCUGCACACGCCGGCUACCCCACCCCACACUGUCCGUGCUAGCACGUCGUGCCGUCAUCCCCCGAGCCGUGCUGCCACUGGCCAUCUUCCACUCCGCGCCACGCAAGCCUCCACGCCUCCCGAUUGCCGGCGGCAUCAGGUGCGUGCCGUGUUGGCACCUCUAUGCUCUACCCUUCAUGCCCCCAGGUCAUCGCCAAACGCACAGAUCUCCGCCCCAGGCCAGGUCUGCCCACCACCGGGGGUCCGAAGCUCCACACUGCGCCGCGGGGUGCCGCGCCCCCACCGGCCACCGCCCCUGCUUGCUGUCGCACUGCUGAUGGCCGCCACACCGCUUCUCGCCUGCCCGCUUCCUUGCUUGGGCUACCCGCGUGUCCCGUUGGUGGUCGAGCCCAGUCGUCCUGCCCGCACUAGGGAGCCGGCCACCGCUUGUGCUAGUGUCGCACCUGGCCGCUAUCUGCUUCGGUCUCAAGUUGUGGAAACUUAGGUUGACCAUCUAUCAUCACAGGCUACCAUGCUUGAAGCCACUUCCUUGGUGAAGAAUUUUGGAGCAGAAUGUAUUUCGGACGUGCCGCUAAAAAAAUUGUAGAACUUCUUACUUCAAUACCAGUGUCCUUCACCAAUAAGCGCAUGUACACGAAGUAAACUACCUGUCUAGAACCUUCUAGAAAAGAUCAUACGGUAUUACCCAAGCACAUUGUGCAUUCCAUCUUACCUUAGAUUUCUCUUAUCUAUCCCAUCUUACCUUUGAUUUCUCUUGACAAGACAAACAACGCCUUGUAAUCAUGGAUGGUACAAUGAACUUUAGAUUAAAGGGCUACCAUGUAAACCAUAAGUGAUGUCGAUACCCUCAUUCGAUAAAGAUCCCAUCUCUUGCAUCGAAGCCUCAAAAAACAUCCAUAUCGAUGCAGGAUCCUUUGAGCCUUGUACAAGGAUGAAUGGCAAAAAAAGGACUUUCUCUUCUAGCACAACCAUAUAGGCAGGUUGUACAUCGUCAAGAUCAUUCACCAUGUGCUGUGAGUGCUGCUCCUUUCACUGAAGGGAUUCAUUCCAUUCGUACUCAACGCAAACCAAACAUUUCUUGGAUCCUUUCCAAAUUCUUGUGUUGAUGCAAAAUCUAGACUUCAUAUCGUGCGUUACAAACACCAUGUAGGCAGGUUGUACAUCGUCAAGAUCAUUGACCAUGUGCUGUGAGUGCUGGUCCUUUCACUGAAUGGAUUCAUUCCAUCCGUACUCAACAAAAACCGAACAUUUCUUGGAUCCUUUCCAAAAUCUAGAUUUCAGAUCCUGCACUGCGAACACGUGAGGACUUAGGAGAUCUACUUAACUCUAGUUCAGGCUCCAAUAGGCUUGCGAAGCUGCGUGGCAUGCCAAUUAAUUUGACCUGCAAUUGACAAUGAAAAGCUUUGUAAAAGUUAAAUGCUUGAGAUGAUUGGCUGCGAAACACACGAGCUCACAAGUGACGUUACUUUGAAUAAACACCAUCAAAACAUGCUUUCAAUGUAAUCAAGAGGUGCAGUAAUAAAUAACAAGAUUAAUGGCACGUGCCACCAGCUGGACGAGCCGAUGGGCUUUGUUAGAUCUGGAUUAAAACAACAGCCAUUAAAUGAUAAGUUGUUCAUCACGUGCAUGUCAAUUAAGUCACCAGAUUCAAUUAGUGUCAUGAGCCGAUAGAUCAGACCUAACCGAGACAUUAUGGCGUCACUUGGAAAUAAUUAAAUUUAACAUAAAAGACUAGAACGCAAUAAGAAGGCCUUGCGCAUGUAGCCAUCGGCUCGAUGACGUCAACCUACUACUGUGAUAGAUGGAUUGGACCUAACCGAGACAACGUCGGCUCAACAGUAAUAAGUUAACACUAAAGAUCUGAAGGCUAAUGACAUGAGGGGAAGGAAUAAAGAUCUAUCGGAUCUAAUGAAGAUAAAGCAAAUAAAGCAUGCAAGAUCAAACUAGCUGAUAGGAUUCGAUAACUGGUGAGAACUUAAAACAACUAAGAGAUUGAUAUGAUACAACUUAAUUAGAUCUAAGCAAACACAAUAACUAGCCUUAUGGUAACAGGAUCAAAAUAUCGAACCUAAUCGAGAACAUUUUGAUACAAAUAAUGUAAAGACCGAUAAUGAUGGUACUUACAAGCUUACCGGAGAUCGAAGUCGAUGCAGCCCUACUUGCUAGAAGAAACUCGCGGGAAACUACUUCUACAAUGUUGAUGGCAGUUAGAAUGCCAAGUUGAAAACCGCAAGCGCACAGAUCAUCGUAGCUUUUCCCUUCUUGCUGAGAGCCUGUCCGAAUAACCCAAAUGUUUGUUGCGUUUACUUUUCGUGCAAGGCUUUUUUUUUCUUUCUCCCACAGCUUUCCAGCUGUGACAACGAUCAUGAGCUGGGCUAAUUAAAUUCUUGCAAAUGAAAAUCCUUAUGCUACUAUCAUUAAUUACAACUCAACAAGGAUGGAACAUGUUCAAGGCAAGCUAAAGUUUAAAUUCAAAGGUCACUAGUGAAAGGUGACCGGCGUUAAGUGUUGCCUGUCAACUCUAAUCCGUCAUUGCUGAUGGGUUUUUGCAUGUCACCUUUUAUAAGUUAUUUGUGACACAUCUUUGACAGCGGGCAUGCGCUGAUGGAAAACGGGCAUUUAGUCCCGGUUGGUAGGGAGCAAAUCUCCUAAAAAUCCAUCCGGGAUAAAGCAAUCGAGAAGAAAGGAGGGUCUUUAGUCCCGGGUCACUCAACCGGGUCUAAAGACACCCUUUAGUCCCAGUUGGUAGGUAAAACCAGCCGGGACUAAAGGAGUCGCCACGCUAGGCAUAGCCCCCACGUGUGAUUUUUCACGCCGGGACUAAAGGGGUAACAAGUCACGCGAUUUUUCACACGUAAUAUGCGCGUGCACGGUGUGUGGGAUUCGAACCCACAGCCUUAAGCCUCGCGCGUAGCUUCCUUACUAUCCCACCUACACAACACAUCUGACUAUAUAGAGGAUGCAAUCCUUUUGUAUUAACUUGUGGGGAACCUUUAUUCUCGGUUUGUGUUACCAACCCGGACGAAAUACCAUUUAGUCCCGGUUUGUAACACAAACCGAGACUAAAGGAUCCAAGGGCUUUAGCCCUUUUUCAGCCACCCGUGGGGGCCCUUUCCGUGUGGUAAUACCAACUGAGACUAAAGAGGGGGGCCUUUAGUCCCGGUUGGUGUUUCCAACUGAGACAAAAGAUCCCUCAGGGCCUUUUUUUUUCAUUGUCCCUUACAACCGGGACUAAAGGGGCUCUUCAGUCCCGGUUGGUGAGCCCCCCACCAGUGCCUGAGUUUUAGUCCCGGUUGGUGAACCUUUAGUCACGGACCAAAUAUUAACGGAACAAAAGGGGGUGGAUGGAAGGUGAGUUUUCUACCGGUGAUGAUUGCUCGUCACCUGUGACCAUGUUUCACAUAGUGUAACAUGAUCACGUGAUGUUUGUUUUACUACUCAGCAGUAGUCACAAGAAAGAAACAGCUUGUUUCCAUAGUUAAGGCAAUAACGUAGAAUGGAAUAUGCUCACGUCAAUUAGCUUGAAUCUUAUAUCGCAGGAUGAAACCUUGCGUACAUGAUCAACAAAAAAAUUGGAGGUCACCAAUAAUAAAACAUUGUGUAUACUCCCUAGGGCUGGGAAUACAUAUAUGAUGUUCCCGACAAGAAGUUUCAACUAACUGCGUGCUAGUCCCACUCGUCAGAGCGUCUUAUAUUUCUUACCGGAGGAAGUACUAGUUUCAGAUGAUUUCAUCGGAAAAUGAUCUAACCUGUUGGUUUUGUGGAAGUAAGUUUUCCUGUGGUAGUCCUGUGCUGUGACGAACCAACCCUUCCCGUUGUAGUUGGCAGGGAACCAACCCUUCCUGGGCCAGCAUAUGUCAUAUAUGCGGUGGUGUGGAAUGACACUGGUACAUUUAAGUUAAUGUGCCAGUGUACAACAGAAGGGCUGUGAUUACUUCACUAUUUGUGUCGGCCGUAUUCCGCACCGGUGCGAAAGGACAUAAUGCACUGGUACACUUUCGCCCGGCACAUAUGAGCCGAUGCAAAUGACGGUCUCCGCAGUAAUGCCAUCCAGCAGUAGUCAUAAGAAAGAAACAUCUUUAGUUUUGUUACGUAAGGCAAUAAAUUAGAAAGGAAUUAACAUGCUCACGUCAGCAAUUAGCUUGAAUCUUAGGAACCUUGGGUACGCGAGAUGAGAUCGGUAUGGUACUCUUUCACAGCUUAGAUGACUGCAUGUCUAGUUAAUCUUCUGUAAUUUGUUUGCCAUCGAGGUCUCGCUAAUAAUGCGUGUGGUCCGCGGCCACGCUUCCCGUCCCCCGCGUCAUCGGGAACAUGGGCGACGCGCCUGGCGCCGUGGUUGUCACCAGUGCGCCGUUUGCGGCCAGGACCGCCGUGCUCCCGCCGACCAUCACCAUCUUCCCGCCCCUCCGGUUCCCACGGCGGCGGCGGCAGGCGGGUGGGGAAGCGUGACUGUGCAUCUGAUGGAGCGCCGUCAACCAGCCCACAACGCCAUUUGUAGCACCGACGUAAUGGAGUGAUGCUCCCCGGGUUGCCGACUGCCUCCUGGAGGUUGCGCUCGACCGCCGUAUAGUCUUUGAGCAGGGGCAUGUGGAUGAAGACUUCAUAUCUGUCGCCUUACUACCAUGACUCCGACAGUGGCUCAGCUGACACAAAGAAAGCUGAGGACCUGUCCGCCGGCCAGUGCGUGAAAGCAGGCCACACCUUCUUGGGGAUACCGUCAAGGUAGAGGCGCACUCUGUAGAAGAUGCGGAAGCCGAGGGCAUGAGUGAGGCUGCACUAGGUGCAAAGGCAUAUAUCUAUGCCUCCUCCAGUGAAGCGUCCCUGGCGGCGCGCCUCCGCCGUGUGCGCGGCGUGCUCGAAGCAAACAAUGUAGGGCUUCGACCUCCCCUGGUUGCAGAUGGAGCUCGCGGGUGAUGAGGUCAGUGAUGUCCUGUGCUCCCGCGUGCAGUGGUAGAUGAAGCGCCCAUGGCACGAGGGUGCAUGAUUCCCAGUCCCUCGCGUCAUGCUCUAGUUGGAAAGAGUUGGAGACAAAUACUGUCUCCACCUCCGGACACGUGUGGGGUUCCCCGAUUGCCAUUGGUGUCGCUCCCGUAGUCUUGGUCUUGGUCGGCGGCAGUGGAGGUGGAGGAGGGAGUGGGAGCGACUGCGGCGGCAGAGGAUUUGGCGAGUGCGGCGUUGGUUGUGGAGGGCUCGGUUGGUGUGGCUGCUGGUGGGGCUGCAGUGGCUUCCGCGCCGCUGGACGGUGGUGGACAGAGGCAUAGGGACGCGGAGCUUUGCAGUUGCGCUCUGUGUGGCCUGAGCGACGGCACCUGAAGCACCGUAUGGGGUCGCGGCAGGCGGUAGCGCGGUGGUCUCGAGCAAGGCACAUGAAGCAGUGCCUGGCAGUCACUUUGUUGAAGGCGCGCAGGGCCUCGGUGGGUGGCUGCCUUGAAGCCGUGCUGUUGCUUCUGUUGCGUUCGCCGUCGCGUCCGCCGUCAUGUCAUAGCGGGUUGGGUGGCGCUCGGCGUGAAUGCGCGCUACGGCACCUGACUGGCACCCACUCUUGCCGUGCUGAAGGCUUCAGAGGAGAGGCAGACCCGGUGUUGCAUACAGGCAUUGGGUGCAGGGCCCCGGCGCGCCAUGCCCUUGGUUCUGCAGGGAGGUAAAUGCGCCGCGCCCUUGUCUUGUCGCCGGAGUUAUUGAUGCUCCUGCAGGUAGAGGGCGUGGUGUGCAUCUUGGUAUCGCUGUCCCAUUGGUUCAGUGGGGGCAUUGAAGCUCCCCCUUCUGACAAUGUCCGCAUAGGAAAACUUGAAAUCCGAUGGAGUAGCAGGCAGAUCUUGGGCUGCAGGACGUGGAUCCGGCGUUUCGGGGACACAAUUGCCAUCAAUGGCGGCCGGCCGUCCGCGUCUAGGUGGUGGAGGUGGGGAAUCGGAGAAAAACUGCUCCCAGGAAGAGCGGGAGCACGGGGAGGUGGGUGGUGCGCGCGGUGGCUUGGACGGCUGCUAGCUGGGUGCACGGUGGAGGAUGCGCGGUGGGGAGCUCACAGGCUGGGUGCGGGGCGGCGGCGGCAGGGGAGGAGGUGGCGACAGGCGGGCGGCUUGGUUCUGAUAAACAUGGCGACAGGCUAACAGAGUGAAAGCUAAGGUUUCCAAUUUUACGAAAGAGCUCAAAACUGCAUAUAACCUUGUCAAAAAGGAAUAAUGUCCAAUGUUUCUAAAGCUAGUUCAGGAAAUAAACGGUGUGUUUAUAUUCAUAAGACAUAAGCCUAAAACGAUUAAUUACAUAGCUACAAGAAAGCGAAGGAGAGGACCUGGCUUGAAGUGGUUCUCGAAGGAGUUUGCAGAACACAUCUUCACUCACAUGGGAGUUUAGGAGUAGGAAUCAAUUAAUUACUCUGAUGAUCAGAGAAGGAAAAUUAGAAUACCAAAAUCAGAAUAGGAAAUCUACGUAUCACUGGCUAGAGUGGUUCCUAUCAGCAUUCUUAAGAGAAAUAAUAGAUCUAAUUGGAAAAAUUAUAAAUCCAAUUCAAAAUUGAUUACACGCUAAGCCCAACAUAUCCAGACACAAAUCAUGAUAUCCUAUUCAUUAGAAAGAUGGUAGCUGUGUUGAGGAGCCUGGUCGCAGUUCCCAUUACCAGAAAUUAUCAAACAUAAGAACAAUUGUAAAGUUCAACAAGCCUAAAGAGCUCAAAUUAUGGAAUAUGAAAAAUAAGAACAGGGAUAUGAAAAGUAAGAACCUCUCGUGCUUUGUCCAGUACGGAUUCGAUGUUGCUGUUCUUGGUCUUGCACAAGAUGAUGCGUCACUGGCAUCAAUCAUGCGCUGGCCGUGUUGCCCGCAUCAUUAAGGAUCCGUGUUGCCCGCUGUUGGGAUACGAGGUAGGCUACACUAGCGCAAAUCAAAAUUUCUACCGCGUAAAACCAGGAAGAACUGCCGUAUAAGGAUCACGGGAUUACCACUCGACGCACUACUGGUGCGGAAGGUGUAGAUAUGCGUCGAUGCAGUGAAGACGAUCACGUAGUCGUACGUAGUCGAUCAACGUAGUCGUACGUAGUCGAUCACGUCAACGUCCAGCAGCUCCUCAGCAGCUCGUCCACGUGCAGCAAGAUCGCCCCCGGUGCCGCGGCUCGUCGUCGGCUCGUCGUGGCUCGUCGGCGGCUCGUCCGAGUGCUGCAGGCGCAACACCUCCAAGGUAUCCACACGUGCAGGGAGGAAGCGUCGCAAGCCGAACUGCUAGAUCCGCGAGUUGCAACAGGCGAGGGCGUGGGAGGCGCGGCAGAUGUGUUUCGCCAAAAGGUGUAAACCCUAGGGCGCCCCCACCCCUCUAUUUAUAGAGGUUCCUAACGGGCCUCUGGGUCCGAGGCCCAUUAGUACUUCUAAACCUAAUCCAACUCGGAUCAGAUCCGAAUUGGGCUUCCAGCCCCUUAAGUGUGUGACCCUAUGGGUUCAGAUACGUAUAGACAUGGCCUGAGUACUCCUACUCGGCCCAAUAGUUGGUAGCGGCCUCUAGCAAGACGUGCCAACUCCUAUAUGCACACGAAGAUCAUAUCAGACGAACCAUCACAACAUAAUAUACAUGCUAUUCCCUUUGCCUCACGAUAUUUGGUCUAGCUUUAAGCCGACCGCUCUUUCUCGAUCCUGUGAUUCGGAAUCCCUUUGUAGGUUAACUCUUAACCGUACGUAGCAUGGUCAUGCAUUUUCGGAUCCGAUCACUCGAGGGGCCCAGAGAUAUCACUCUCAAUCAGAGAGGGGCAAAUCCCAUCUUGAUUGACCAUGUCGCAUAGCAUGCUUCUUGACAAACCCGAAAGCUACCUUUAUAACUACCCUGUUACGGCGUAGCGUUUGAUAGCCCCUAAGUAAGUCGAUCCACAUCUUGAGUACAUGCGACAAUCUCAGGUCUAAGGAUAAAGCGUAUAUGUUGUGAAAAGAGAGAACUACUUCUCGUGUUGGGUCAGUCCUAGCACAUAUCUCCACAUGUGCCCACAUUAUUAGUUUAACAUCUCCAUGUCCAUGACUUGUGAAACAUAGUCAUCAACUAAUACAUGUGCUAGUAUAAUAUUCAUGUGUGUCCUCACAUGAACUCCGACUAGGGACAAUUUUAGAAUAACCAUACAAGUAAAGAGUUUCACAUACAAUUCACAUAAUUGCAAAUCAAUUCAAGUAGCCUUUAAUGGAUAUUCAAUGAACACAAUAUACAAAUCAUGGAUACAAAUGGAAUAUCAUCAUCUCUAUGAUUGCCUCUAGAGCAUACCUCCAACACCCGCAUCAUUAAGGAGCCCUGCAAGCAAGGCUGUCAGCUUGCCCACUGAGCAAGCCAUCGGCUGUGCCAUGUAGCAGUUGCUGAUGCUAGCAGCAGAAACAGGCAAAUCGACUGCUUGAAGCAUCAAUGUAAGCACAAAUCGGAAUCAGCACUGGGAUGAAGAAGUAGGGUCUGGGACGGCGGGCCCAGCGUAGAGGGAGUCUGCGGUAUCUCUCCGGUCCAUGUCUCUCUUCCACAUUUGUCAUCCCGGCCGCGCCUCUGUACACCCUCGGAGCUCAUUGCUCUCGGCCUCUUACCUCGACCCUAAGGCUUCGAUCUGCAGGCAUACAGAAGAGAAAUGAGUUUGAGAAUUUAAUAAGUCAUUCGCGAGAUCAACGAAUGGCAACAGCAUCCAUGAACCCAAGCUUCACUUGCAAGAUAAAAAACAACAAAACAAACAAACAAACAAACAAGGCAAGGCAAGAGUUGUCUGUUUAUUCUACACUAAUAGAGAACAAUUAUAAUUCCUACAUUACUGGGAGAUUUCAUUGGAGGAUUGCAAUUGGACUAGCGAGAGUGUAUACAUAAUACAUGUCUAAGAAAACAUAAGCAAACAUCUAGGUUGUAUUGUAACACUAGCAGCAUCGUAGAACAUCUGGUUUCCAUCAAUUAGUUCAGACUUAGAAAAAUAGAAACUCAAACCAAAUAUUCUGUCCAGAUCAAUUGACAUUUACAGGUUACAGAAACAAGAAUCCAAUAAUCUGGAUCACAAAUUCACAAUACAAGCUCCGGCACCGACCCAUGAUGAAGAAUCUCAGGGAGCAACUCAAAUCGACUAUGUAGAGUAUGGUUCUGACUUCUGACCAAUCGAAUUCUCCACUGAACCACACACGUGUAUGCAGAACAAUGAAAGAUCGAGCUGUGACAUAGAGGAAAGGGGAAGGGGACUGAGGAGUUCAACGACCUCACCACUACCUCCAAUGAAAAGCCACCCGAUACGAAGGUCGUAGCAGGGAGCUUCCGGACCAGCCCUCGCCAGAUCCGUGCGAGAUCCAGCCAUGGACCUGCGUGAGCGAGCUCCGCAGUGGACCUGCGGGACCUCCAGCCUGACGACCUUGGGACGGAGGGGCUGUGGGCAGCAGCGACACCGGCGUCAAGCUUGGGGCAGAGAUGGGCUUGAGCGGGGGUGUAGCUCACACAGCGGCAGCCGCGCUCGAGCGGGGGGAGGAGAGGACCACCUGUGGAGGACGACGAAUCGGCGCGGACUGUCGAAUCGGCGAAGGACAGGCUCAAAUUGGCCGGCGGCACUUUGGCUCGGGAGAUGGAUGGGCGGCAGCGCUCGAGGUCUCGAGCUCCCUUCUCCAGCCACGCUGCGAAUCGGCCAGGGGAUAGGCCUGCUCUGCACAAGCAGAGGUCGGGGCGGCGCAGAUUGUCAAUGGAGCGGGCGGCGAAUGCGAGGUCGGCACCGAAGCCAAUAGCCCGCUCAUGACGGCACUCCUCCGAUGCAAGAUGCAGAGCCGGUGCUGGAUCCGCCGGUCGAGCUCGCGCAAUCAAGCGGGCGGGCGGCAGAAGGGCGACGAUGACCGACGGAGGAGCUUCGCGGCGCGUGGGUGCUACAAGGGCGCCAGCAAACCAAUCGUGGGAUUUUGCGGCGGCGCCAUCGAUAUGGAGCGGAGGAUCCACGGGAGAACUGCCAAUUUCAUUCGAACCCACGAUCUCAGCUGUAUUGGGAGGUAGUUUUUGUGGAACAUGCAACGCAAAAGAAAAAUAUCGAAGCGCAAAACAGCAACUGGCAAGCAGGGCGACGGGGGCAGGCUGGUUCGACGGAUAGAUGGCUCGGCUAGUAAAUAGCUUAUUCGCUACUACCCAGGGUACCAUAUAGUAUUAUCUUAUAUAUAUGUAUAUAUAUACAUAGUUAGGUGAUAAUCUUAAUGUCACCAUGCUCUAGACAAACCAAUAGGAACACAAUAUGUAUAAGGUGUGCUGUAUGAUAAUCAAUCUUCAUUCAUGUGGACAUGAUUAGUUGUUCCUCUAGUCACUUCCACUUGAACACGGGUCUAAUUUGUACAUGCAUGUAUUUAUAAAAGCUAUUAACAAAAGCUAUGAAUAUAGAUGGAAAUGCGAAAACGACCUUUAAUUGGGACUGAGGGAGUACAUAAUAAAAAUUGCAAUUCACCAGGAUGAAAAAUGUAAUAUAGAAGAAAGAAAGCUAGCCAUGUAUGGAUAUAAAAGGAGAUAUAGCGCAUAAUUGGCCUCACAUUAUUGAUAGAGUCGAGACGAUACAGUAGUAUGAAUAUACAUACUUGAAUCUAGGUACUAGCGUGGGUCAUCCAGAACUGCAAACUAGCGGUUGCAGUAAUAUUUAUUCAGACUACAUUUAUGCAUGGGAUUACAUCUUUUUAGUUUGGAGGCACAGUUCAUCUGAAAGGAGAUUGUCGUCAUGACCACAAUAUGUUGGAAAAUUAGCAGGUGGUGGAGGGAGAGAUGUGUCCAUUGUAGGACCAUCCUCUACAAUGAAUACUGCAGCCAUGCCCAUGGUCAAAUGAAACUCAAAGUGGCAAUGUAUGAACCAUACUCCUGUAAAUCAUAGAAGAUAUAUAAGAAUUAUAUCUGAGAGCUUCGAUUUAGAAGCCCAACUAACACAAAUAAAUUUUACACGCACCUGGAUUGUUUGCAACAAAUCGGAUAGCGGCCCACCCAAGAUUUGGGACGAGAAUGGUGUUCCUCACUGGUGGAUUCACCAAGUUGUAUUUUGCAACAUCUUUCGCAGCGUCGAAGUUACCAAGGCCUUGUGCAAGCAGGAUCAUGUUGUGACCAUGUAGAUGCAUCGGGUUGGAGUCGCUCUGCAUAAGUGCUGUGCUCUGGAACACCAUCUCCACCACGGCACCAUACCGGAACCGCCGCACCACCGUGGCCUUAUGCGAUGGCUCUAGGGCCAUCUCCUUGGGUCCAUCCGUGAUUAACGCAUGGUCAGUGAAGUUGAAUGGCCUUGGCGGUCUAUCGGGAAGCUCUUGCAUCACGUCCACACUUCCAGUGUGGUUGUAGUGUGCUUCUAGUAGUGGCGUCUUCCCCGUGGGAUGCUGGAAGGAAACGUUGUUCAUGGUUGCGAUGAGGAUGGUCUCAUUGUGACCACCACCCCUCCAGCAGGACUGGCCAUGCUUGCAGAUUGAGCCCAUGCUGAGCACGAUGUACAAUCGUUCAUCAACAUGCUGAGGAACCAUCGUUUUGUAGAGGUUGGUCAGGUUGCUGUGGAAGUAGUAAGAUGUAAAUGUGUCAUGUAUAUCAGGCAUCUCAGGUGCUACUGGCACAUCACCGAAUGAACCGUCGUCUUCUUCUUCUUCUUCUUCUUCCACACCAUGAUCUGACCUUAGUCUCGCUGGACCAUCGGCAGAGCUGU